CACACCACAAACUUAAAAGCCGCCCUCCUGCUAGGAGCGUGCCUUUCCUCGCCACCCUCGGGUAGCCAAAACUCCAGCUGGUGCCUCACUCUCUGCCUGUCCCGGCCAGGCUCAGGGGCAGCAGCGCCCCCUGCCUCCCCGCCAGGCCUCUGCAGCCGCUGCCUCCGCGCUCUGCCUGGGCCGCCGGCGGCUCCGCGGCUCAGCCUGGGCUGAGGCUCAGAGGAACUCCAGUUAGUGCCUCAGGUCGCGGCGUGGCUCGUCCUCAUUCUGCCACCUUUUUCCCCUCUCCUGAAACAGCAUCAGGAAAAGAGAGAAGGCGAGGAGAGUUCACAGCAGGUAUGUCUGGUUUCGGGUCACCUGCUACUCUGGUGGGAGGGUGCGCUGUAGACCGCGAUGAUAAACAGGGAAGGAUUUGGGGGUGACUGUGGUUUCAAAGUGAGGGUGCCAAGCGGCUGGGAGAUAAAGAACCGUCCUGAAACAGAGAAAGCGCUGGGUAGCGGACAGGGAAUGUGCGCGCAGGGUAACUGACUAGGUGAGCAGCCAGCAGACGGACUGCCGGUAAGCACGGAGCCGCCACCCGCGCGGCCACAUCUCCGCAGCCACUGUCGGAGAGGACUCUUUCAGAACCUUCGCCUAACAGCACUGCACAAAGUUUUCGGCUCGGAGCGCGCUCCGAACUUUGCUCUAACCCUAGGUGCUUAGUCUUUCCCGAUCCCCUUCCCAGCCAAAGCAGUGGAGGACCCUUAUGAAAGUGUCCUGUUUCGGCAACUGCAGGUUCAUCUGAAGACAAGUUGGCGGGGACUGUCGGGGAAGACUUGACCAAAGGUCAUCUGAGUUGUAGCUCGCUUCUUUUCCCUUUGUACUGGGAGAAGGGUAGAGGAGUGCAUGGUGGUUGUUUUUGUUGUGGCACUUUGGGGGAGGGACGGGCAACGCCUUUUUCCUUGCAAGUGAAUCGAGACGCCGGGUCUAUUGGAAGUGUGCGUCCUAGUAGCUCCAGAGGGGAAAGUUGGAAUCAGAUACUAGCCACAAAGCUGGCUGGCUGUGAAAUGCGGUUAUGACAAAAUGCUCUUUUGCUUUGGUGAGGGAUUCCUUUGUAGCCCUUGGUGUGGCUUGUUCUGCAAAGGCCGAGAUUUGACUCCCGCUGGGCGUUUAACCCGGAGUACCCCCACCCCCACUCCCGCUUUGGCUUCCUCACAACGCACCCGGAGCUGAAGCCUUAACUGACUGCACUGGCAUCGCACGGUCAGUUUUCAGCACUCGUUCUACUUCUCUCCUGACUUGUGUUCAACCUCGUGGACUGAGUUACUUUGCUCGCGUCACUAGGAGGGGACUUGACAGGAGGAGGAGACACCGCGCUUUAACUGGGCGGUCUGGAAUCCCAGGAUUGGAUGCGAGACACACGCUUGGCAGCUGGGGCCGCUGACCUCAGGGAUUCCGCGUUGUGUGCAUGGGAGUUAAAUGGACCAACUUUUCGUCACUUGACUUCGAGUGAAGCCCUAAUAAAAAGCGGUAUCCUAAGUGAACACUUCUCUUUUCCCCCAAACUCACUCCCCACCCAUUUUGCCAGUGCUAUUGGGUUCAGCAAAAGAAAGGGCGGGAGACAGAAAGUCUCAGGUUUUGGCGGAAAUGGGGUCUCCUGGAUGUGUGCGCAAGUGUUUGGGGGACGGGGGAUGGAGGAGGAGGAUUCCCUAACCUGGAAGAAAGGGAGUAGGCAGAGGUAGGGGAGAUAGUUUGCGACCCCUCCCGAGUCUCGUGCUGCUGCUAUUGUGUAACUAUGGCAACCGCCAGGGCAAGGGCGGUCAGAGCCUUCCGGAUUCUGCACGUGGAAAGAAAAAUGUGUUGGGUGGGGGACAGAGAGAGGCACAUGUCAUCACUCUAGCGAUGCCUUCCCUUUUCCUGCUUCUUCUCUGAGGGCAGAUUGCAAAGAGGAUGAGCAGGAAGAAUCAGGGUUGGAAGUGGUGAGUCGCAACCAGCAGUUGCUUUAACUCCUUCCAGUCUUGGAGUCGCUAGACAGGCCCCAGCAGCUGAAAUUGGCUAGGGGAGCCAUUGCUGACAAACUACAAAGUGAUGGCCCAUGUAGGGGAGAUGGGAUGAGACCUUGGCCUUUGGAAGGGAAAGGCCAGGAAAUACAGGAAGAUGAUGUGUGAUGAGAUAAGACUAGGAUCAGGAGGUAGCUGAGAGACAAUUACAUGGUACUGAUUUGGAUUGCCAACAUUUCAAAUGGAAUUUGCCCACUGAUGAAAUGGAAAAUUGUUGGAGAAAGGAAGGGACAUUUAUCAAACACCUAUUGUGCCCCAUGUGCUUUGUACCUUAUCAUGAUUAAUACUCAACAAUAUUAUGAAAAUGCUAUUAUUCUUGUCUUCCUCAUGAAAAAAAAGAAGAGAAAACAAGAGCAAUAGGUACUGACCUAUUUUGGCUUUUAUGUUCUUAACAAAGAAUUAUAAUUCUUAAAAAUUAUAUUCAUAGGAAAAUGGACUAAGUAGCUAUCAUCCUCAUUUUAGAGAUGAGAAUAAUGAAAUGCAAAGUUGUUGAUGUUGGAACCCAAAAAUAAACUGCAAAGGAUGGAGCUGAUAGAGGAAUUCUUUUGCUUGGAUGUGUGUCUCCAUUCAGGGACAUCAGGAAAUUUUCCAUGGCCCCACUUAAAGCCAGGGCCUUUCUAAGGUCAGUUCUGAUGCUAUAUCUGUGUUGUAAUCAUUUAUAUGUGAAAAACACAGAAGAAUGUGGUUGGAUUUAGGCACAGAGCACAUCAAGUGUGUAGAACUAGAAUGUCUCUAUUUAAUCUAUAUUUAUAUCCAGGUCUUACUGUAUUUUGUAGGAAUUAUUGAUGGUUUUAACAAUGUUUGUAAAGGACAAAAGAAAAAAACAAGAACUAUAACGUAUCCAUUUGCAAUCCCAUGACUGUUUGAGAAAGUUGUCUGAGCUACAGUUCUCAAUCUACUCAUUGUUCUCAUGACCUGCGUAUUAUAAAAGUUAUUUCAUAUUUUGGCACCACUGGUUCACCUUUGUAAGAGCCUGCUAUCCAUUAAGAAGAAUAGUAAAGAUUAGACUCCAGUUACCUUCCUGCUGACUUGCUGAGGGGGAAAGUUAAGGAAAAAUGUCUGGCAAUGCAAAUGUUUUAAAAUCAUCAGAAAGAUAUAAUCAACGUAAGCAGAAAUUGAGGGUAAAAGGUUGAGAAAUAAGUGCUGUGGCUUUUCUAUUGUCUUUCACACAGAAUUGCUUUCAUAGGUAAUUCUUACCUAAUGAAUUUGCUUUGUGUUUUGCAUAAAGCAAAGAUGCACACACAUACACACACAAAAAAGAAAAAAAAACAACACUGAAUUUUUGGUCUCUUCUUUAUGUGUGGGGAGGGCUGUAAGUAUGGGAAUGUGAAUUAUUUUUGAUGCCAGCAAAUUCAGGAAAAUAAACAAUUACAAAGGCAAAGGAAGCACAUCUACUUUUUGGCAGGCUAAUAGAUUGAACUAAAGGUUUGAACUUGAGUUGCUGAGCUAAAUUACUCUCAAAUCUUUUCGUGCCCCAAACUAGGAAGAAUAUUAUUAGAAGUUGAAGUUAAGGUAGGAAGCUUUAUGCUACACAAUUCUUCUUUAUUCUGGGCACUCUUUCGUUUACCUGGGCAUAUCAAAAAGGAUUUUCACAGACCAGGAGGUGCCUCAGAAGAUAACAUCUGGAAUAAACAGGCAUCUCUAUGGUCUGAUUUACUGCAUGAAUAGAGUUAUGGUGCUAAGUUUUAUUUUUGUUAUUUUAUAUAUACAGAUAUAAAAUAUAGAAAAUAUUAUAUAUAUAUAUAUAUAUAUAUAUAUAUAUAUAUAUAUAUAUAUAUAAUAUCAACUAUUCAAUCUGAAGAAGAAAGUAUUCCAGGUGCUACUUUAAUGACUAAUAGUAUGUCUUCAGACUGUUUGCUAAAGCUUCAUUGUUUUGGAUAAAAUAAAUGUUGAAUCUAAAUUUCACUCUUCUGUCUGAGAGGUUUCAUGUUUUGAUAAUGUAUGCUCCUUGGGAAUAUCCUUGUAAAUUAAUAAAUAAUAUCAUUAAUAAUCAAGUUUAACAUAGCACUAUUUUGAAAAGUUCUUCUUAUUUUUUUUCCAUAAACACUUCUAACACCAGAUAAGAUAAUAGGUAUUUCUACACUCUAUCACAUAAUCCUUGAGAGAGAAAAAAGAAAUAUUCACAUUUAUAGAAUAAGUAGCAAUAGCAAUAAUAGCAAUGGACUAUGGGCAAUAUUAUACCUCCCCACCUCAAAAUAUGGUUUAAAAAUUUUUCCUUCCCCCUGGAAACCUGAGCUAAAAAUCCCUUGUUAUUGUUUAUCUGUCAUUUCUUUCAAGCUAGUAGUCAAAGCUUUCAAUCAUUUUUACUUGUUAACAGUUUUGGUGUUUAUAAUUAGAUCAUAAGAACCAAGAGGGGAAAAAAUUUGUCUUCUCUAACUUUUUAUACCUUCAAGUUAGUGUAAUGUUAAAUAUAUACUAGAUACCAUUGAAUCUAACUCAUUAUUUAAAUAAAUAGUUAUUUUGAACCAUUUUGUUUGUUCCCUAUAAAAUAACAUACUAAAGAUCUUUGGUUCAUGGUUUUGGGGUGAUUUAACAAGGAAAUAGUUUUGUUUGAUUUGAAUUCUAUCUUUUCAUUUAAAAAGUGAUGAGAAACUGAAGGGUUUAUGAUAAUGCAUAACCUAUAGGAAUGGUGUAAUAAUCAUGAAAGCCAGGAUAUAUAAGAAUACUCAGUGAAAAUAUCACUUGCUAUAAAAAAGUUAUUAAUUUUUCAUACUUUUGGAAAGGCUAAAAUUAAUAAACGGGUAUCUACUCCAUCUAUGGACAUGCUAGUUCACCUUAAUAUUAAGUACUAAAUACUAAUUUUUCAAAAAAAACUAAAGAAAAAGAGAAAUUUACUGUAAAUGAAAAACACACUGAUAUACAACUGCAAUAAUUUUGAAGUUCGCUUUGAGAUACACUUUAAUUAUUGGACACAUGUAAUAUAAAUUAUUAAUCACAGAUACAUACUUAGGUGCUUUUAAAAAGUUAGUGUAGGAAAUGAAAUAUGUUGCUUAUGCUUGGAUUUUAAUGUUUUUGAUGACUGUUAAUCUAUAAUUAUCAGCAUUGGAUCAUUUAUUUCCAUGUUAAUAAUAAUAUUUAAUAAUCUUUAUAGUCAUGAAUCAGGAUAUCUUCAACCAGCUUUCUAAUCACUCACUAGCAAUUUUAUUCAUUUGCUCCCUCUUUGGUAAUGAGCUAAGCUACAAUUGGAGGUAAUAAAUUACAAAUUUUAACCUCAAAUAGAAAUAUAUAAGUAAAGCCAGUUACAUGACCUUCAGAAGAAGCUGUAUUUGUGUGAAUGUAAAUCUAUCUACCUUAUCAUAGUGACAAUGUCAUCUUUUAAAGAUACGGUGUCUUCAGGAAUUAGGCAUGACUUCCUGUGUAUUCCUUAUUCAUUCUAUAGAAUAUUAUGCAUAACAACCUUGUCAUCUUAUAUUUUAAAACCAAUGAUUUGUAGUGAAUUCAGUUAGUGAGUUUUCACCAGCAAAUCACAAAACAAAUGGAAAUUUUUGCUGUUUUUCUAAUCUGACAGAAUUAAGCUACAUUAGUCAAGCUUCUUAGUAGAAAUAUAGCGCUAUUAUUAUAUCAAAAAGUGGUGUAGACAUAUGAAGAUGACAUUAUUAAUCUACCACCAAGUGAAUGCCUGUUUUUCUAUAUUAAUUUAAUUGUGCAUUUACAAGGUUUACUCUUUAAUCCAUCUUUUACAUAUUUCUAAACUGUUUAAGGAUCAUGGUGCUAUGUUUGUUCCAGAAACUAACUGCUAUCUAAGUAAAUGCAUUAAGCAUAUAUAGUUUCAAAUAUACUGCAAACAGAAAUUAGAAUUAAAAUUCUUAUUAGCAAUAUUCUCUGAAUUUGCCUCAGUAUAUAGAUUGAGAAAUACUAUAAUUCAUAUAUGUAUCAUCAGCACAUAUCAACUAUUAAAAAUAUUUUUCAGAAAAGAUAGUUUCUCCUUAAGUUGAUUUUAAAAAGGCCCAUAGAUAUCUUUCUUCCCACAUACAUACUUUCGAGUUGGACUCAUGCGUAUGAUGGAAUAACCUCAAGUUACAUCUAAAUAAACUCAUUUUCUUUGAUGGCAUGUAUACGAUUAGUAUUAAGCUUUUACUCCUCUUCUGUUAUCAUGAAGACCAGUCUAUACAAAUUAAAUUCAGGCAUUCUGGACUUUUGAUUUUGUUGUUGUUGUUGUUUCCAAAUAAAUAAUUGAUCCUCCUCUAAAGUGAUUGCUUUAUGGAAGAAAGAAAUGUCUUCUAAAGCAAAAAGUAAUCUACUACAAAAUGAACACUACUAUUUGAAGACACUGUCAUUUGCAUAAUGUCACACUGUAUUUCAAGACAAUUAUUUGGAGCUCAGAAUUCUGUUUAUUGGUAAUACUAAAUACUUUGUCAGUAGAAGUCGAUACUAAUUAGUUUUCUUGUUGAAUGGGAUAUAUGUAAAUUUUAAAAAUACUUUAUUUUUUUAAGAGAGAGAGAGAGAAUUUUUAAUAUUUAUUUUUUAGUUUUCGGCAGACACAACAACUUUGUUUGUAUGUGGUGCUGAGGAUCGAACCCGGGCCGCACACAUGCCAGGCAAGUGCGCUACCAUUUGAGCCACAUCCCCAUCCCCGAUUUAAAAAUACGUUAUAGUGAUAAUUUUCAUUACAGUAAUAGUUCAUGACCAUUACUGGAAAAACAAAGAAUGCUAACAUGCAUAAAGUGGAGAAGGGUUCAUAAACAUUUAUCCACAAGUCUACUGCACAUAUAGAUGCAUGUCAAGUAUUUUCAGCCAUAAAUUUAUAACAAAUAUAGAUUUCACAUUGACAACUAUCACCCAGAUCUUGCUUUAUAAUGCCAUUCUCCAAUAGAAAUAAUCAAGCAUCUUAGGAGGAAUCAACCAAUUCUAGGACUGGGACAAGAAACUUAUAGGAAGAGCCUGGAGCAUCUUGAAAUGUCAAAAUAUAGAAGUACCACACACAGAGAGAGAGGGAGGGAGGGAGGGGGAGAGAGGGGGAGAGAGAGAGAGGUCAAAUGACAUAGGAGCCAUUUAAAAGGACUCCCAAUUGCCAAAGUAGAAUAAUUUGAGCAACAAAAAAUAAAGUAGUAUUGAUUACUACCCCAUUUAAUAAAAUGUCCAUUAAAAGAUAUUAGUAUAAAUAAAUGAUUGAAUAAAUUAAUAAGUGGGAGAGAAGAGACAGGCUUCCCAUGCAAAACAAUUUCAAGUGAUUUAGUAUAUAUUUGGCCCCAAUGAAGUGCAACAAAACUCCAUCCUUUGAGUGUGGACUAAGUGUGGUAACUUCCCUCCUAAGAGUACAGUAUGGAAAGAAGGGCAGGAGGAAAAAAGAAGAGCACUUUACAGUAAUGAAGCCUGAUGAACACUACGUACCCAUCUCAGCCAGGUGAUCAAGUUAAAUAUCAACUCUCAUAAAUCCUAUUGAUGACAUGUAACCUUGAUGUGAGUGGAUGAAAAUGGUACUUUACCUCUGUGAUCUUUCUCCCCAAAAUCCAUAAUCCAAAACUAAUGAUAAGAAAAAUCAUGAUACAAAUUAUACUAGUGAGGCAUUCUACAACAUAUCUGACCAGUAAUUCUUAAACCUGUCAAAGUCAUGAAAAGCAAGUAAAAUCUGAGAUAUUGUCACAGUCAAGAGAAGCUUAAAGAGUAUAAUGACCAAAUUUACUGUGAUACCCUGGGUGGAAUCCUGGAACAAAGGAGAAACAUUUUUAUAUAAAAACUAGGGAAACCUGAAUAAAACCUGUAUUUUAUUUAUUGACAAUGCAUCGUUAUUAGUUUACUAAUUGAAGCAAACAUCCAUACUAGUCUAAAAAUGUAAAUAGGGAAAAUUGGAUGUGGGUAAUAGGUAAACUGUCAUCUCAGUGCUUAUAAAAAUCUUUAAGUGUUAUAAAAAAAUAAAGCAUAUAAAAUUAUAUUUAAAGCAUGUAAUGAGAAACUGUACUAAGCUGUACUAUUAAAUGUAUAUGGAUAGAAUGAAUAUAUAUGAGUAGAUGUGUAUGUGUAUAUAUUUAUAUGUGUAUAUAUAUAUAUAUAUAUAUAUAUAUACACAGUGCGUUUUCACUAGCAAAUCACAAAAAAAUGGAAAUUUUUGCUGUUUUUCUAAUCUGACAGAAUUAAGCUACAUUAGUCAAGCUUCUUAAUAGAAACAUAGUGCUAUUAUUAUAUCAAAAAGUGCUGUAGACAUGAAGAUGACAAUAUGUGUGUGUAUACAUGCAUGUGCAUGUGUGUGUAUAUAUAUGUGUGCAUAGUAUGUGUGUGUAUGUAUGUUUAUGUGUGUGUGUAUAUACGAAUGUAUCACUUCACAUAUUAUUUGUAUUGUUCUGUUUUCUCAAUUUCUACAUUUCCACCCCCUCAGCAGAAUUGAGUUUUACUGUCCUUCAGAUAGGUCCCCUUACAGUUGGAGCAAAAGUCCUUAUGUUUUACCUUUGCUAUCUAAGCUUUUAUACAUGGCAUUGUCUCACUUUUUAUUAUUAACUCAUAUUUACAAUCAUUCAAUAAAGACCUGGCUCUGUGUUUUACAUUGAGCUGGAGUUUCUACUGAAUUCAUGCUUUACUGUGGUAUUUGUUGAAUGUUUUUUUUUUUCUCUUCUGCUUUUAGUUUGUGUGAGUCAUGACAUAAAAACACAUUUCAAAAACUUAUUUGGGAAAAGUCAGAGAACCUGGUUCCAGAAUGUGUGACUAAUGGGCCUCCUUUUUGGUCAGAGCCCACUGAAUUUCCUGAAAUAAUGAGUGUCUGAAAAAGACUGAGAUCAAAAUGACUAAUAUGCUCUGGUCUUUCGUUGGAAUCUUAGAUUCAGAUUUUUAUUUUUGUUUCACAAAAGAAAUGAAAAAUUUCUUCUGAUAUUUUCUUUAAAAAUGCCCAUAACAUUUAGUUCAAUGAAAAAGAGGAAUAAAGCAAUGUAAUAUUCAGGCUGAUGUUUUUUAAAAUACAUAUUUAAUUUGCAUAACCAAUACAUGCAGUUCACAUUUUACAAAGACUGUCAUGCUUUCUCUCUCUUUUUUUAUCUCCUGUCAUAUAUUUUCAAGUAAUUAAUUUCUUAUGAAUACUUAAUUAUAACCAGAGUAUGGCUUUAAAAAAUAUUCUUGUAAAUGAAAAUAAUCAUUUCAAAUCUUGUAAAUUUUGAGAUGUGACUUUACAUAUCAAAGGACAAAUUCUUUAGAUACUAAUAAAUUUAUAGAUUUAUUAAUCUUAUCCUUAAUGUAUUUUCCAAUUUAAAAUUCAUUCUUUUGUCCACAUUAUCUUCUGUCUUGCCUCCACGCAUUUCUAUAUUUUCCUAUCAUAAUUCAAUCAGUGCUUUAAAAAUGGCUUUUCAAGCAGGUUAGUAUAUAAUAAAAUUAGCUAGACUAUUCUGUAUACAAAAGUAUCCAAAUGAUUAAAAACAAAGUGUCAGUAAGAUAUUUGUAAUUUUAAAGUGGGAGUUUAAUACAAAUCAAGAAAUUCUUUUUUUGUUGUUGUUUUGUUUUGGGAUUUAACCCAGGGACUCUUUACCACAAAGCCACAUUCCCAACCCUAUUUUGAGGCUGGGUUAAGUUUCUGAGAGCCUCACUAAGUUGUUAAGGCUGACUUUGUACUAGUAGUGAUCCUCCUGCCUCAGCCUCCCCAAUCGUUGGGAUUACAGGCAUGUGCCGCUUCACCCUUCGAAAAAGUUCUUGUAUUAACUUUUAAAGUUAAGACCUUUAUCACCUGUCAAGUAGCUGGUCAAAGAACUCAUAUUGAACACACAGAUGAGCAAAUAGUAUAUGCCUUUUUGGGGGUUGAUUCACAUUUUGUAGAGCUGUGGGGAUUGUUGUCUUAGACUUCGCUGUGAUGAGAUUUGGCAGAGAGCAUUCAUUGUUCAGGUUUUUAAAAGGGCAAGUUUUUGGCAGGAAUAACUCUCAUAGAAAGGGAAUGUUGUGCUUACACAUGUGUACUCAAUAAACCUUCAGAGAAUUUGGGCUAAGAUAUUACAGGAUUCCUUACCCGCCCUGCCCCAGUCUCUGGAUGUUGAUUGCUUUAAAGCCUUCUUUUGUUGUGUCACUAUCACAUGGGUCUUUUUAUAUUUCAGGAAACGGUACUUUGAUUCAUGUUUCAAAUGUUAUUAGUGUACAGUGAACAGUCAUUUCAUAUCCUGUGCACUUUUACUCUGGGAUUAUUAAAAAUAACAAUUGCAUUGAAGCCUCUUUCCCCUAGUAUUUAGCAGUCAUACAACCAUCAUUGCCCUGACAGCCAACAAGCAUCCUUUUGUAUAAAUGUUAUCCUAUUAUUUCUGACAAUCAGAAGUGAAGUCUUGGGAUUUCUCUUUUGCCUUUACUUAAUAUGCACAAGCCAGUUUAAGUGUGUGUACUUUAAAUAGAUAGUGUAUUGAGUAGAGAAAGGAUAAGAAGUUUUAAAUUCCCAAUUCAGUAAACAAAAUGAACCAGCGUCAGCCACGAGGGCCUGCAGCUGCCAUGCUCUUUCUAUGUGAUGAUUUCUUCUUUUAAUUGGAACAAUUUUUUGUCUUUCAUUGCCAGCAUCUCUCCCAGCUCUUAACCAAAGCCCCCACUCAUCCCUCACACUUUAACCAUUCCCACAUACACCCCAGAAUCUUAUCUGAAAAAGUACUUUUUCACUUGAAGGCUGUUUACCUUUCCAUAGAUCUUUUCCAGUAGUCUAGUAACUAUUACCUUCUUUCCCACUUCUUCUAAUACCAGAAAACAAAGUUUCUCAAGGAUAAGGACCAAAGGAUUGUUAUUUGACAUCUUUCUCUACAUUCCCAUAAAUAUUUUACCUCGUAAUGCACAUGAUAGAUGCACAAUUUCUAAUUCUUGCAUUGAAGUCAUUCCAUUUAGAAUCCGCUACCUCUUUCUUUGUCCUCAUGACUACUUUGGAUAUGGAAUUCCAAAGUUGAAUGUACACAUAUUUUACUUCAUCACAAAACUUAUUUCACACAUGUAUUUUCCAUACAUUCCUAUUAUUCUUGAAGACUUUCUCUCUCAAAUUCCUCUUUCAUUUUUUUUAAUUCAAAUAUUUAUUGAGCGAGUGCCUGCCACAUGCUGGGUGUAAUAAAAGUCACUGAUGAAACAUGAAUAAAAAUACAGUUGCUGCUCUGAAAUAGACAAUUGUAAAAUAGUUCAUUAUCACCAUGGGUCAAAUCUCAUCCCCAUGUGGUAUUAAAUCCAACUGAACAAAAGGUCCUAUUAAUGGUGUUGGUCUUUUCUCUCUAUAGCCUAUUCAGUAGUUACACUAUCUUCAUUCUCACUUUCUACAUUUUUCUAUGUAGAGAUAUGCCCAGAGUAUUGCCUCUAACCUGACUUGUCUCUCAGGUCCUAGUUAUGUCAUACCAACACUACACACCCUAUAUCACCUGAGACUAGUCCUGAUUGCUUAACAAUUUAGGUACAAAGGCAGUCACUCACUUUGGUAACUGAAAGUUUUAAAGUCUUUAAUUAGACUUUGAACUGGGAUUUGAUGUGUGGGAGGGAAUGUGGUACAAUGUUAAAACUUUGGGCUAUGAAAAAGUUGACAGCCUGGGUUCAAAUCCCAGUUCUAUCACCUCUUAGGUAUGUCAUUCAGACAGGUUAUUUGACCUGUCUAUAUCUCAAUUUACCAUUGUUUUACUGAGGUUCAUGAAAGUGUUAACCUUGUAAGGUUUGAGGGAUAAAUAUAUUAGUACAGACAUACCAAAUGCUGGCUGGCCCAUUACAGUAACUGUUGUUAGCAUCUCUCUUAUACAGGCUACGCAUGUUCCACACAGGUCAGAUUCCCACUCCGUCUGCACACUGUUCUUUCUUCUUGUUCUUUUUCUAGUUAGUUCAUUCAGAGAACAAUUAGUUGGUGGCCUACUUCAAGUAAAUUGUUAUCCAAUAGAAGAGUAUUUAAGAUUGAUUAUUAAUCUCUCUUUCUCUCCUCCCCUGGUCUCUCCCUUUUACUUGCCCAGGGUGUGUUUAAAGAGACAAUUUGCCAGGUACAGUGGUGCAUGUCUGUAGUCCAAACAGCUCAGGAGGCUGAGGAAAGAGGAUCAUAAGUUCAUAGCCGGCCUCAGCAAUUUAAUGAGGCCCUUAGCAACUUAGUGAGAUCCUGUCUCAAAAUUAAAAGGGCUGGGGAUGUGGUGCAGUUGUUAAGUGCCUCUGGAUUCAAUCCCUGGUAUCAUUCAAUAAAUAAUAAAAUUUUGGAGCACACUGAGACUGACCAUGUCAUAGUCAGGUAAGGGAGAAGCCUGGACAGAGAAACCACUCCAUACAAGUUGUCUCAGAAGAAACAGUCACUUUUAGAUAUUAGAAAGAAAGUAAUAAAGUGCUUAGGCUCCCACAUCUAAAUUCAGAGUCUUAUUUCCUGGCCUCCCAUUUGUUCUCCUUUGAUCUGCUGGGUUUGUCUAUAUACCUAUUUCCUUGUUGCUUUACUCCAUCCACAAAUAAGCAAUGCAUAUUUGUUCAACAGGCUUUCUUUGAAAAAACUAAACUAAAAUCUAAUGCAGAAAUGUUUCUUUAGUCUUCUAACUGGUUCUACUCUCCUUCCUAUUCCUUUGGCCAGAGUUCACUUCCACAUUGUGAUUACUACCUUGUCGUGUAUAACUUCUACCCACAUAUUGCUCUAGGGACCUUCGCAACAAUCUCUCACCAUUCUACCUUUUCAGAAUACUCUAUUUUAGUCUGCUUCAUGAGAAAGUGAAGGGAAUCAAAAUGAUCUAAUUCACUGCCCACUCACUCAAGGAUAUGGAAAUCAGCCCAGAAACACUGCACAGUACAGUCUCAUGCCCAGAGACUAAAUCUUUUCUAGACCACACACUAGUGUUGAACUUGCCUCACUGGAGCUAUCUAGCUACUAAGAGAGCACCAGAUCCUUACUCCCUAAACUUCAGGUACCAUGGACCUUUCAGGAAUCCUGAAUUUGGUAAUUAUGGAGUCAAUUUGCUAAAGCCUUCAGCUUUCAAGGAGGAAGGUUAGGAAGAGCGCAGAUAUAAAUUGUACCUUGUGGUUCUAUAAAGACUCUAACAAGGCAAAGUGAACCUUUGUCCCAUGCAGCUUCAUCUGCUUGGAAGUUCUCUGGAAUACAACUAAAUAGAAGCAGCAAGUAUGUGCAUCAAUGAUAUUUUCCAGAAAUUGAACUGAAAGGUCACUCUAGCUUCUGAGCAAGUAGAAGUGAAACUGAAUAAUGUUAUGACUUUUUAUGGAAAAAUAUUUCUUGAAUACUUUUCUCAGUCUUGUUUCAAACUAGUCUGUUCUCAUAGGUAUUACUUUUGCUUAUGAUUAUUCACCACUACAUGUUACGUUAAUAAUAAUGUAUAACACUAUCUUAUAAAAUGUUUUAGAGACAGAUUAAAUUAAAAUUACUUGAAAUAUUUUCUAAAUCUUUGCUAAAUAAUUACAAAGCUUAUUACUGAGUAUUCAUUGCACUGAUAUUCAAUAUUUACCUAUGGUUUCUGUAAUAUAUAUUUAUCUAUGGUUCCUGGCUUUUAACUCCCUCCCUAAGGCAACAUAUAGAAACUCUAAUCUUCCUCUACCUUUAGCUGGCCAUAGAUUCUCUGACCUACCUUGGUCUGAUAGCAGUCAUAAGAUCUUCCUCAUUCUAAAGGGGUCCUGCCCCAUACCUUGGAGGAAGAAAUACUGCACAGAGAGACCAAGAAAAAUCUGAAGAGACCAGCUUUGCUGGGUUUCCCUAUUGUGUCUAUUAGCAAUCAGCCAAUGCAAUGACAUCUCCACAGAAACCUAAAAUGACAGGGGUUGAAGAACUUUGCAUAGCAGAACACAGGGAGGUCUCUGGAGGGAGGUAUGUCAGAGAGGACAUGGCAGCUCUGUGCUCAUAUUUCUCUCAUAACUGUCUCUAUGCAUCUCUUCAUCUAUAUGGUUUUUAAUAUGCUUUAUAAUACACCAAUAGAUGUAAGUAUUUCCCUGAGUUCCAAGAGAAGCUCAGCAAAAUUAAUUGAACCUAAGGAGAAAGCUGUGGGAACCUUGAUUUAAGACUGGUCAGCCAGAAGCACAGGAAAACAAUCUAGGGCUUCCUGUUGUCAUCUGAAAUGUUUGUGUGGGGUAGAUCUUGGGAGGAAGUCUUGGGGACGAGCCCUCAACCUGUGAACUCUGAUGCUAUGUCCAGAAGAUGUCUAAAAUGAGCUAAAUUAGAGGACAUCUAGUUGGUGUUCACUGGGAAUUGCUUGCUUGCCUUGCUACUGGGAAGAAAUCCCCAUACCUUUUGGAGUUACAUAAAUGAUCUGUCUUUUGUGAAUGUAUAGUAGAGGAAAUUGUAAAACUUUGCCUUUUCCCAACGAAUCUAUAUAAAAUAUUUGCCAAUGGAUCAGUAUAAAAUAUUUCUUAUAUUUUUUCAUAUGCAAAAAAAGGCUUUUCUACAUGUAUAUAUGUCUAUCUAUAAGUGCUGGGAAUUGAAUCCAGGGUUGUGGCAGUUGCUAGGCAAGCUCUCUAUUCACUGAACCACAUUCCCUGCCUUUUUUUUUUUAAAUUUAAAAAAUGUGUUAUUGCAAGAUGAACAUAUUAGUAUCUGUACCCAUAAACUAAUAAGCUUUGAGAGUUUCCUACUGUGUUUUAGCUCCUUGUUAUCAGGUCAUUUUUGCUUUAGAUUAUUUAUAUUCAAAAGAAUGUGAAGAGCAAGAAUACUGAGUGAAAGACACAGACAAUCUGUUUGUGUCUACAAAACAGUGUGUCCCUAAAGUUCAAUUUUAUAUUCUAAAUAAAUUGAAUUAUUGCAUAUCCACUAAAGAACUUUAGAAUUCCUCCAGCAAUGCACAUUUUGUUAAAACUUGUUUAACAUAACUAGUAUGGGGGGGUGCUUUCUUUUCCUGUCUCUUUGCUUAUUUUGUUUAAUUCUAGCAUUGGAAAUAAUUGGUAUUUGGCCUGACAAACUGUCAAUCUAAGGAUACCUAUUUGGUAAUCCCUCUAAUUAAGAAAAUAAUAAUAAUAAAAUAUUUUUGUCUAGUGUAUCUCAUGGAUUCAUGGUAUUUCAGAAUUUAAAAAAAGCAACCAGAGGGAAUGCCCAGUCCAAUUUCUUAAUUUUACAAAGGGACUGGGGGUGAGCUGAUAUAAAUUCUUUCUCCCUUCCCUUUUUACCACUCUCCAUACUUCCUUCCUUCCUCUUUCCUUAAACAAGAAAGGACAACUUUUCUAAUUUAAGAUCAGUGCCAAGGGUUCCGAGAGGAAUAGCCCCAGGCCUGAGCAAUUCAUAAUCCAUAUCUAUAAGACACUAGUUUUAGUGUGCUCAGAAACACACAGAGAAACCACAGAAUUGAAAUACAGCUGAAGUUUCAUCAUGCCUGUGAGGGUGAACUUUCUGCUUCUUAACAUGUCAACAAGUGUCCGUUUUGAUUGUCACCUUAACACUAUGGUACUGAUAAAUAUAUGGUAGAUUCUCAAUGGCAGGUGUUGAAUGAUUUUCAUAGAGGAUGAAAGUCUGUGAAAUGUCCUUUGUGAUGAGCUCUCUGACCUAAGAUACUCAGGAAUAUUCUUUCAAACAACUGGAAAGUGUGAAGUUUUUGAUUUGCUUUCUUUGCCUGUUGUGAGUAUACUUUGAUUUGCAUCAUAGCAUUUACAGAAACUUCUUCAUGCAUGAUACUUAAACCAGAGAUAGGUUAGAUUAAAGACAAUUUGCAGUCAUGCAAGUUUGUAAAGAGAGGCUUGAGAGUUACUCAGCUAUUUUAAAAUUAAAGCAGAAAUAUAUCAUGGUUAAAUAUUGAUUAAAAUUUAAGUUGCAUUUACUAUUUAACACUGCUUGUAUGAUUUGUUCUGAGUACUCUGCAGAAAGGAUGAGGUUCUCUUGAAACUGGUGUCUGACUGCAUCAACCCUACACCCUAAAAACAAUAAGUAAUAUAUAGAUGAUAUGCAGAAGUGCACCCUUUGCCACAUAGUUGUUGUUACUUUUAAUAAGAACCACAGGUGGCUUAAUCUACUUCUGCUACUAGACCACAAAAAAUGUUAAAUGAUCUUGAAUUGUUUAAUUAUAACAGACUUUUAAUGCAAAAUAAAUGGCUUCAUCAAAAAUAAUCAUGCUAGCAGUAUAAGAUGUAGCUACUGGCCUUCCGAGCUCUUUUUCUGUGGGAGAUAUAGACUUUUCUAAAAUGUUGCAACUUUCAAUUUCUCAUCUGGGUGUGAACAAAGUAAAAGAUAACAUUUUAUACUAUCAUGCUUUCUUGAUGUGGUCACAUUUAAUAAUAGAAACAAAAGAAAUAUUUCCCGAUAUAAUAAUCAUAAUUCUGCCAGGAAGCAGAUGUAAGGUCUUAUUUUUCUUUUAAAUCAAUUAUUUAUUUAUUUAUUGCAUUAUAUCUUUCAGUUUUGAUAUUUUCCUGUAGAGGGAAAUUCCAUCCUUCCUGGAAUAAUAAUCCCCUAAAUUUCAAGUAUACUUUUUGAACUGGUGAGUUAAUAGAAAAACACACUCUUCCUGCUUAUAUGCAAUGAUCUGUUUAUUGUUUUCUAUAUGAGUAGACUUUGAGUGCUUAGAAUACUUCUUAAGGUUAAUUCUACUGUGUCAAAAUAAUAAAUAAAUCAAAGGACUUUUAGGGGGUACGUUUCAUUCUCAUGAAUAUAGAAACAAAUAGAUUUCCAUCACAGAAAAUCAUUUCACUCAAAGGUCAAAAUGUAAAUAACUUAACCACCUAGAUAGCUCUCAUUUCUUUUCUUCAUUCCCGCUGAAAUGCUUCAUGUUUCCCUCAGAACAUCUGCAAACCUUGACUGUUCUUUGCAUUUCCAGAGACACUUGCUUCACUUCAUUUCUUCAGCAUGGCCUCUGGAUCAGGCACUGCAAGCAAAACUUUCAGCUUAGUAUAACCUUCUAUUUCUUUAUGUAGUUUAUGUAGCUUCAUACAAAAUGAUGCAUAAUCUGAUUUUGACCUUAGGCCAGCAGAUGUGUUUUAGGUCACCAAUGUCUAAUGAAGUAACUGCUGGUUCACCAGCUGCCUUUGCCCAUUGAUAUUUCUCUAGUCCAAUUCAUUUGUGUUGAUAUUUGGGCGUUUUUGUUUUUGUUUUAAUCUAAAGUCUGAAAAAACUUGGAAAUUUAUGUACACAUCCACAAUGCCCAUAUACCAACAUUCAGACAAUAAUUCGGAUCACUUGCUUUGGCCAUAAUCCUUUGUAACCUCCGGUACAAAACCUUCAACUUCUGUUUCCUUAUCAACUUUCAUAUUCUUCCAGGUCUUCCAAAGCAAAAUUUCCAAAUUAAAACCCAUUUUCCUUAUUUAUUUAUUUAUUUUUCUUUUACCUUUUUAUUACAACUUAACCUAUUUUAUUUAUUUUUGUGUUCAAUUUAUAAUCACCAAUUUGAAUUGUACACAUCAGUCAUUUCUAAUGCAAUAUAGAGCAGGUGCCUAGUCAACUUGGGUUUCUAUCUUGGCUCUGUUACCCACCAGCUUAUAGAACAACUUGCUUCAACUCUCUGUUUUAAUUUAAAGAACAGUAAAAUGGAACUACUGACAAUAUUUAGCUACUAGUUUACUGUGUGGAUUAAAUGAGUUAACGUGUGUUCACUAUUCAAAAUAGUGUGUGGUCCUUAGUCAUCCCUAAGUAAAUGUUAGCUACUAUUAUUAUCACUUUCCUUUGCUCUAUUUUCAGUUAGUUCAGCAAAUUUUCUUAAAAAUUUUUCUCUCCAUUAUCACUGCCAACACUAUGAUUCAAAUCUUCAUGAUCUUUUGCCUAAACUGUUUUAACUGUCUUCUAACUCAUAUUCUUGUUCACAUUUUGUAACAAGCCCCAACCAAUUCAGCUCAUUGUGUUCCAUAAUCUGUAUCUUGGUUAGGGAAACCUCAUUUGGCAAGAUCAAGGUCUUAUAAAAAGUAAUAUAAUUUAAGCAAAACUAUAAAUAAUAUUAAAAUAUUAUGUGUAUAUACAUAUGCAUGUGUUACCAUUUGGAUAAGAGGUGUCCCUCGCCAGCUCAAGUGUGAGACAAUGUAAGUAAGGUUAGAGGGGAAAUUAUUGGGUUUUGAAAGCUUUAGCGGGCAGUGAAUUAAUCCCCUGAGAGGGAUUAACUGAGUGGUAACUGAAAACAGGUAGGGUGUGGAUGAGGUGGGUCACUGGGGCAAGCCUUUGGGGUAUGUAUUUUGUCCCUGGUGAGUGGUUUCUCUUUCUCUCUGCUUGUUGGUUGCCAUGUCCUGUACCGCUUUCCUCUACCACACUCUUCCACCAUCAUGUUCUGACCCACAUUGGACCCCGAAGAAUGGAGUUGGCUAUUCUCUUUACUGAGACCUUUGAAACUGUGAGCUUCAAAAUAAACUUUUUCUCCUCUACAAUUGUUUUUGUCAGGUCUUUUAGUUACAGCAGUGAAAAAGCUGACUAAAACAGUAUGUGUGUAUGAAUAUGAAUAUGAAUAUACAUAUGUGCGUAGGUAUAUGUAAACUGACAGAGGAAAAUAAAAGUGAAAACUACCUCAUUGUAAGCAAAUUGGAUACUCACAGUUAUUAAGCCUGCUCAUGCCAUUAACCGUCUUCUUGGCACCUUCCUCUGUUGACUAAAACAUUUGCUGAAGCCCAAAAUAUACUAAAGAAUAUAUUAAUAUAAUUGUAUGUUAGAAAGAUCAUAUGUUCUUUUAAAGUUUGUGAGCCAUUGUGCCUGUUUUCAUAUUUCUUUUAUUUCUAUUUUUAAAAAUAACAUUUUUUCCAAAUACUUUUGUUAGAAUCUGGCCUUUGCAAAGUUUUCAGUGUUUAAGAUAUAUGAAUUUUUUUCUCUACCACAUCCCCUCUCCCUGAAUUGGGACUGUUUAUACCACACAUGUGAUCCUAUUUGUUUUCUUUUUGUUGUUGUUGUUGUUUGUUUGUUUUUAUUAGAUGGAUCAGAAUUAGUUGCUGUCCUUCUUUGUUUAAAGGAAUGGCCUGAAAUGUGCUUAAAGAGAUAUAUCAUGCACUCCUAAAAAUUGUCUUACAUGUCUAUCAAGUUAUUGAAAAAUCACAGAUGAAUCCAUUGCAGCAAAGCAUGACUUCCUCCCACAAAUGUGGUUACAAAUAAAGUGACUGCCUUGUUUGAACAGUGCUGUCAUUUACUCCCUACACAAGUGAUGGCAGGAUCCAGUGUAAACACCUUGCCUUGUCUUGUUUGGUCUGUAAUCUAACUUUGCAGUUUGUCCAUGAUUAUCUUAGCCACAUGAAACUAUGACAUCACUUCUUUUCUCAUGCCUUAUCUUAUGUGUCUCUUGAAACAUGAUGUGCUCUCAGACUCCAGCUUAAGUGAUCUCUACUAUGAAAUUUUCUUUGCUUUUACCCGAUUCCCUUACCAUCUCUGUCAGAGUUUUUAUUUGUUCUUUUUAGAAUAUUUAAUAUAUUCUUGAGUAUAUCAUGACAGUAGAAUAUAUUUGGACAUAUCACACAUAUAUGAAGUAUAACUUCCCAUUUUCAUGGUUGAAAAUGAUGUGCAGUUAACUAGUUGUGUAUUCAUAUAAGAACAUAAGAAAGUUAUGUCCAGUCCAUUCUAAUGUCUUUCCUAUUCCCAUCCCCCUCCCUUCCCUUCAUUCCUCCUUGUCAAAUCCAGUGAACUUCUGUUCUCCUCUCCCAACCCUUAUUGUGUAUAAGCAUUUGCAUAUCAGAGGGAACAUUCAUUCAGCCUUUGUUUUGGGGGGAUUGGCCUAUCUCAUUUAGUGUGAUAGUCUCCAGUUCUCUGCAUUUACCAGCAAAUGCCAUAAUUUUAUUCUUCUUUAGAAUCAAGAAUUUUGUAUAGUUAUUAUUUCAUUCAUAUUUUAUAUCUCUUGUAUAGAACUUACAUUCUUUCUAAAUUUUGGCUUUCUGUAUACAUAUUUUUUCCUAAGUUCAGUAUCUCCCCUGUAAAAAGCUACAUUUUAUUUGCUAUCUACAAAUACAAUGGAGUUGACUCUUAGAAAAGUUCUAAGUUCUAAAGUCAGUAUUGAAAGUUAAAAUGCCAUACUUCUAAAGUUAUCCUGAAAAGAUACUAAAGCAAUAUAGAAAAUGUAUUGUGCAUUUAUGUACGUACCACGUUAGGAGCUGACAUUGAGUUUCUCAAUAAAGCGCAACACUGAAAGUUUUCCUUCUGUAUUGUGUCAAGUCAUUUUCUUCACUUCAGCAGGAGAUGAAAUAACUGGCUUGGAUUUAGAGGCUGUGUGCCUGAAAAAAUCCAUGUGUCUUUAAACUUGAAAAUCAAAUGCAGCUUGGGAAGAUGCUCAGACUAUGAGAACUGAGAACAAGUAAGGAAAUUUUAUUUCUUUUCCAAAUAAUUAUUUUUUAAAAAUAGGUCAUCCAGAGGCUGAGGGUAUAACUCAGUGGUAGAGCCCUUGCUUAACAUACGUAAAGUCCUGGGACCAUCCCCAGAAUUGCAAAGAAAAAAAAAUGGUGAUUCCCAAAUCCUCUCUAUCUUCAUGGCUUUCAAGAAAUUUCAUUAUCCCAAGUUUCAAAAGUGUAGAUGAAUAAAUACAUACAUAGACACAUACAAAUAUAGACGUAGAUUUACGUGUUUUUUUUUAAUUAAAUAGCAUAAAUAACUCAUUUAAACCCAGGAUGAUGGGUCAUCAAAUAAUGAAAUGAGGUCAUGGCUCAGUUCAACUUAUUAUUCAGUGAAUAUUUUACCAUUGUUAAAAGAGCAGACCUUUGCUCAGUGUUUUAUUCAAAUCUACACUCUUCUGCUAAAUGACUACACAACUUGAAGUACUAGCUUAACUUCUCUGCACAUCAAUUUUAUCCCAAGCUAAUGGAGACAAAGUAGAAUAUCUAUGCUCAGGAGUCUGAAAUGAGAUAUGUAGGGUUAACCUCAUAGCAUUCAAAAAGGUUGGUUAUUAAUGGUAUUAUCGAUUGUCCCAUUUACAAAAUAAAUAUUUAUGACUGAUAGUGAAAGUUCAAGCCUUCCUUGUUAGGAUGGGAGGCUGUGGCUUUAACUCAAUUCAGUUUAUAUUUGGAAGAUGGAAGGAAUUACUUUACAGUUUUUGAAAGAGCAUUGAAACAUGAAAUGCUUGGUUAUUUAUUUAAUUCAGGACUGAAACACUUGGCUAGUUGAAGGCAAUUCUGGGAACGAGAAUAAGGGAGUCUCUGAAUGAUUGAAGAUGGAUUUCUGAAUUGGGUCUUUCAGGAAUAAGGGGCUUCUUUGCCCAUUUUCCAUGAAUUUUCAUUUUUCAUAGUAAAUUGCUUUGGAUCAGAUACAUUUCCAGUAACAUCUCUUCUUUUAUUCAUCACUUUUUAAAGAUGCAGCCUUAAAUAUUCUAAUUCUUUCUCACUCUCCUUUUGUCCUUUCUGAUUUAGAAGAAAAAAAUUCCUAUCAUGCUUACCUUUUUUUCUCAAAUCCCAUUUCUGAUCUUUGAUGUAUUAUACAUACUCUCACAAUUUUGAAAAUUUAGCUUACAUUUCAUGACUCACUCUCUGACAUGCACUGUAUUCUUGAAUUCCAAGCAUUUUCUUACUGAUUUUUUUUUUUUAAUUUACCUGUGGUGGGAAACACUAUUUUCUGUUCACGAGUAAAGAAACUGAGGCAUAGAGAGCUUAAAUAACUUGCCCAAGUUUCCUCCUAUCAAAUGGUAAUAAUUGUUACAGUUUGACUUUAGAGCUUAAGCUAUCAGCUGCUAUACAAGCAUCAGCCAAUUUUCAUGGAGAAGUUUUUAAAGGCUGCCUCUUUUUCAUUUUGUUUGUGUAUCUUUCCAGUUUUCUUAUGUGUUUAGGUUUCUGUGCAUUUUUUAAAAAAUAUUUUUGCUUACCUCCCCUUUUGCUUAAAAAUUGAAGUCAAUACUUGAAAAUGCACUGCCAUUCCCUCUCCUACUGUUUUCACUACACAACACAGCUUUCUUUUCCCUUGCCACUGGCUUGCUGCUUUGGAUGUCCUCAGUCUAUAAACCUCUGCUCUCUGACGUUCAGUCUCUGACUCAGUUCCUUUACUGCUGUCUUCCAAGGAGCUUGAACAUUUUAAAUGCUAUUUUCCUUUAAGUCAGUUCCAAGAUGAUGUUUGCCUCUACUAAGUAUUUCCUCUCAGCUACUGGAAUCUUCUGUUCUUCAGAUUGCUCCUUGAUGCAUUUUCGAAGAUGCUGCCAAAUGUCUUUUUGCACAUAUGCUUGUUUUUUAGCACCUGGAAACUUGACAGAGCUUCCAUUCUUUUUUCCAUUUUCUUCCUCAGGUUUGGCCCUGCCCUCCUGGUACAUCUCUGCCACACUAUUUUUCCUAUCCUUUGCACCUCCACCCAGCUGCACCUUCAGAGUAUUCCCUGGCUUUGAACACUUACAUGACCUGAGCCUUCCACUCUCUUUUUCCAUUGUGGAAGGAGAUAUAUUUUAAUCAAACAUGAUAUGUCACUGUAAAAACACAGGCCAUUCUCCAAAAACAAAUGCUGCAUAUCUUGGAAACUUAAGCAACAAAGUUUUAUUCUUCUUAUUUAUCUGAUCUACUUUACCUGCUUCUUUUAUUCUUCUUUAAUAAUAAUUGUGCUUUUCAGGUUCUCAAGAAAGUCAUGAUGAAGAAGGACAGUUUCACUCUAUUAACAGUGUUUUGUUAACUUUAAAUGUUGAUUGAUGCUGGAAUUCAGUUCCUGAAUCAUGUAAGAAACACGGAGCAGUCAGAAGACUGUUCAGCAGUCAGAAGAUGCAGGUCUUUGUUCUUGUUGAAUCUUCUUACAGACCUGACUUUAGCUUCUCAGUAACUCAUCUGAUUCUUAACUUAGUUAUUUGCAACAUGAAGGAUGAAUAAUAACUAACUACAAAGGUGAGUUUCAAAUGAAAUAAAAAGCACACAUAUGUUUUACGAAUUGGAAACAGCUACACUAUAGGCACUGAUUAUUAUUACAUUGACUCUCAAAGCUUAGAGAUGACAGUUUGUCAAACAAGUAAAGUUGUAAAAUGAAUAUAAUGGAAUCUUCAACUAGAUCAGUGUAAGCAUUUCAUUUAUGCAGGGGUUUAUGUUGUGCAUCACGUGUAUCUUUAAAAUAUUAAAAACUAAACAUUGGGUUUUAAUAUUUCUAUGUAGUACAAUGAAUAUUUGUGGUUUUAAGAAGGGUGGGUAACAUAUCUGUGUUUUGAUGACCCAAAUAUAAUCCAAAAAUAAUACCGUUGUGGGUAGUUCAGUUUCUUUCUAUGAUGGGAUGGAUAUUACACAAUGAGUCAUAGAAAAAACAUGUAUUAGCCUAUAUGUACACGUAAUAGCAUGUGUUAUGGAAGAAGUCCUACCUGGGAAUCCUUUGCUUUCUUCUGUGAAGAUCCAGCUCACUCCCACAGGGAUGUGAUUUCAAGUUUUUAUAUCUACCCACAUGCCUAAUUAUAUAAGUGAUUCAUUUAUAUUUUAAUAUUUUUAAAUACCAUAUUGCGAACCCACAUGAAAAAUCAUUGGAAACUAUAUUGAAAGGACCUAUUUUCUCAUUUUAUUUAGUUUCCUAUUGAAAACUCCUGCACUGAUUUAGGAUUUCAUGUCAUUAGUUAAAGAAGACCAUGGUAUGAACAAAACAUAGAGGAUAAAACUAAAAGUCUCCUUUGGAAAUGGAGUUUAAAUUGUUAAUACGAUUUUAGUAUUACCUUUAUUGUUCCAUUGAUUGUGUUGUGGUAACCAUCUGUGUGGUGACACUGCUUGUAUUUUAUUCUUGCCACCAGAUUAGUGUCCUCUGUUUCCCAGGACAGUGCUUUUUCCCAUAUCAGGAAAAGAGAUUUAUCACUUGCAUUUUUAUACUUCCUUUCCUAAUUUUAGCACAGCAUUCUUUUCUGUUUUAUUGCACAUAUACUCUAUAAACCUCUCCUCCUAAUACCAGGUUAAAUAAUUAUUUUUUCUUCAGAGUAUUUAUAUCUUUGGCUUGUUAAUAGAUAGAUACUUUCCCCAUCAACUUGCUGCACAGCCAAGCUGUGCUUAUUUGCUGCCUUAAUCUUUCAUCACAAAUCAGCUUUCUGUGCAUCUUAAUCACUCUUCCAUCACGUCUGUGAACUCCUUCCAGCUUCUCUGCACCUUUUGGAUAAUGAGGUGUCAAGGUCUGAACACCAGAUGCAGUCCCACCAGUCCUGUCUAGGAAGGUCCUGUUGCCUCCUGUGCUGCUAGGAUGCCUUCUUGUUCCCUGAGGUACUCAUUAGAGAGACGAUACCUGUCUCUGCAGGCAGAGACAAGUGCUGCUGCAUUACCCCAUCCACUAGCAGCUGCCUUCUGGCUAAUUCCUUUUCCAGAGUGGAAAUCUCAAUUUCCAUUUCUCUCUGUCUCUGUCUUUUGUGUUCUUUAUUGCUUCUAUUUUAUUCAUCCUGCCUGAUUCAGAUAUAAUUCAGCUGAUUAUUCCCUUUAUUAAAUCUUGAUCUGGGCCAAUAUCCUCCCAGUACUAUCAUUCCACACUAGUGAUAAUGAUAAUCUCUCCCUCUCUGAUUGCAUAUACAUAUAUUUCCUAGCCAUAUUAACUUCUUUCACAUCUUCCUGGUACACAUAUUCCCUUAUGUUUAUCUAUUGCCUUACCUUUUUCUUCUUUAUCAAAUAAAUACAAAGUUUGACAUUGUUCUGUUAAACUUGAAAACUCAAUUUUAUCAAAGUUACUCAGACAAUUGAACAAUGAAUUAUUUUUACAUUAUUGCUGUUUGUAGUAAUGUAGAAUAACAGUUCAGUUUUUAUUCAUAAAUUAUAUAGUUUGGGAACAGAUUAGAGAGGCAUGACAUUCCUGCAAUAGGUACAAUAUAAAUAAAUCAUGGCCUGUGUUUCUUGAACACUAAUUGAUCAUUCUUUCUUUCUUUCUUCCUUACUCCUUCUUUCCUGUCUUUUACUCCUCCAGGCAGGUAAUGGGGACCACAAUCCUUCUGCCUUCAGGUUGUAGAAGGGAAAGAAUAUAGCACCUGUGUCCUCAGCCUACUGUCAAAGUGAUUAGCUUUGCAGCUGCAGUGAAUUACAUACUUUCUGUCACUUGUGAUCUCAUUUCUGACAAGUUGGCUUUAUAGUAUGAUGAGAAAAUAAGAUAAGACUGUGUUUUAUUCUCAAAUUAUAAAACUAAUGAGAAAUUAAACCAAAAUAAAAGUCAUGGAACACAUUGAGGAGGACCCUGAAACCUUGGAAAGCUUGUCUCUCGGUUGUGUAAAACAACACACGGCUCCCAGUUGCCUCCCACAUUAAUUUUAUUAAAACAUUUUAUCAGAGUAUGAAUGCAAUUUGUAUCUGACUAGGGGACUAAAGUGAGGGAGGAUGGAAAAGAGCUAGGGAAAUAUUGUAAUAGUCAAGGAAUUAGGUGGUAAAGACAGAUAAGCUUUAGAAGCUGGAGAAAAUUUGAGUCUGGCACUAAACACUGGGAUCCAACUUAAAAAUCUGUGACUGGUCAAAGGGGUUAGAUUGAGUUCUACCCCUGGAGUGUUUUCAUAGGAAAUCCAGAUUCCUCAUCAUCCCUCCGUGACUUUCUGAAAUGUGAUAUUUGGAGAUGAUGGCCUGGAAACUGCAAUUUUAACAGUCCCUUCAUUUGAUUCAUAUACUUACAUCUGGUUAUGAAAUUUUUAGCUGAAAGAGCAGUCAUUGUCAAAAUAAGUGGACAUUAGUGUCAAGGAUAAAUAGGAAAAGAAAGGAAUAUUGAAGAGGUUCAGGGAUCAGAGGGUGGACUCCAGCAAGACAAGAUCUGCACCUGAGCUGAGGGUAAGGACAGAAAGGAGGUCACUCCAGAAGUGAUGGGGUCAGCACAGUGGGUGAGAAGGUGUGGAAGAAUUAACUAAGGGAUUGCAAUAAAGCUAGAAAUUCGGAGCUUCUGAUCCUAGCAGAAUAGAAAACAUUCUAAUUUUACAAACCAGGGGGCUGUAGGUUACUAGAGUGCAAAGUAAAGGACUGAGGUUGUCAGGCAGAGGGGCUACAUCUCUGGCCAGCAAAGCCUUGGAUAGUUUGUUUUGUUUUCCUCAAAACAUUGGCCAGGGAAUAUACAACAUGUUCAGCUGUAAAUACUUUUUAAAUUUACUUAUCAUUCAUAGAAAAUAAAAGUGAAAGACAAAGGGAAGAUCACCUUGGAAGACAUGCAAAAGGCUCAAAUAUCAAAAUAUUAGAGUGAAUACCCUUUAGAAAAUCUAUAGGGCGCACAGGUGAAGGGCAGGUUGUGGACAAAAGGCACACAGAACAUUUAAGGGGGAGCUGUUUAGGAAUGCCAAAUUGGUUAUAUAUUCAAAAGCAUCAUUUCAAGAACUUAGCUUCAUUUGGGACAAUGAAUUAAAAUUUUUUCUGUUAAUAUUUUGAAGAUAAGCAGAAUUUUUCAUUCAAGUAAUGUUCUUUAGAUUGUGCCAUAAAUUUAAAAUUAAUAUUAAAAUAUUAUUAAUAUUAAUACUGUCAACAUAAUUUGCUUAUUUACUGGUGUAACUUUAGUAUUGACUUCCUUUAUCCAUCUGAAUAAAUGAGCAUGAAUUUUUAAUCUUAUGAAAAGAGAAAAUAGAGUAAAAGGCAUAACUUUUUUUUUUAAAUCCAACUGAAAAUGUAGACUGUGUCAAGGAUUAUAGUGAGACUUUCUACAUUUCAAUAUAGCAUUCAUUCCUGGAACACGUCAGCCUCUGCACAGUGACCUAGUGUGUUGAUCUUCAUAAAGAAUAAAGUAGACCAUUAUGUAGACACACUUCCAUUUUGGAACCUUAGUGCCAAGUGUUAAUGGUGUCAUUAUUCCAAACAAAGUGUGUUUGGAACCAUUGCUUUUUGUAAUAUGUUUCUUGUGGGAAUUUUCAUAAAGCAACUAUAGUCUCCAAGGUAUUCACAUUGGAUAGAAAUAUAGAGAUUUUCUUCUUACUGUCUGUUAUGCUAAUGUUUUUGUUAAUUGGUAAACUGGUUGGUCCUUUUUAUAAAGAAAUGUCUACUUUUAAACUUUGCUAGCUGUCUUUAAUACACACACACACACACACACACACACAAUCCUCUAAGUAAAUAUAGGUCUUCUAUAGGUGGUACCUUUGGAGGGAAGUAUAAAUAACAUACCGGGGAUGGAGCUUACUCUUAAAUUAAUAUACAUUCUUAAAAUACUUCAAUAUUAAAGUAGGAUGUAGUCGAGACCAUUGUUCUUUAAGACACUUGUUUUUCUAAGAGAGUUUUUUAAAAACUUUAUUCUGUGAAGAUACAAUUUUUUCUUUUAAAUAGCAGAAUCAAAUCAAACUCUAGAAUUGUGUGAAAUACAUAAAAUUUGGAAACUGCAUUAUUCAGAAUCACUUAUCUUACAAUGUAAUGAGAUUAUAUUAUAAUCUUAUUUUGUCUACCUGUAACAUUUCUAGGUUUGUAUGUGUGUAUACAUAUACAUAUAUACACAUGUAUGUAUAUACAUUCACUUAUACACAUAAUAUUUAUGCAAGGAAAAGUUGAUAAAACUAUUUUCAGAAGAAAUUAAAAUAAUUUAAAAAGUCUUGGUAUAUUUGUGUUUAAAAAUGCAUCAAAUGUAAUAAAGGGAAUUGCAUAAGUGUGAUGUAAGUCAUAUUGUUCAUUCAUAUUUUCAACAACUCAGCAUUUAAUUGUUGUUGAUUAGGGUACUAUAGUUUUAAACAGAUAACUCAGGAUACUUGUUAUUAUUUUAUAGGUGCAGAGAUUACCCUGGUAAUAUUAUUAGAUACUUUAAUUGCAUUCUAUUGAAGAGCUAAUCCCCAUUAGAAAUAAAUACUUAAAAUAAAAGAAAAUAUUUGUAUCUAUAAAUAUCACAAUGCCUAGAAGGUAAUUAGGCUAUGGUUUCUUUAUCUUUGUUCAAAAAAUUAAUUUGUUUCACAAUCACCAAAUAUAAAAAUAAAUCAUUUAAAAAGUAUCUUUAGGCACAUGCAGUGGCACAGGCCUAUAAUCUCAGCAGCUCAGGAGGCUGAGGUAGGAGGAUCUCAAAAGCCAGCCUCAGCCAUGGCAAAGGUGAGGUGCUAAACAACUCAGUGAGAUGCUAUCUCUAAAUAAAAUACAAAAAAAGGACUGGGGAUGUAGCUCAGUCAUUGAGUGCCCCUGAGUUCAAUCCCCAGUACUCUUAAAAUAAAAAAUGUCCUUAAUUAACUUCAUCAGUUAGGCCUAUUCACUGACUCUUUUAUAACUAAGGAGUCAGGUACUCUUACAUAUUACUCCCUUGUUGGAAAUGCAUUAAGUUUCUGUAUGACCAGUUGUUACUAGGGUUUUAAUAUAUACCCACAGAAAAGAAAACAACUAACCAGUCCAUCAGGGAGAUUAAAACUGAGACUGUAUUCUCAGAAGUGCUAAGCUCAGAGGGAGUUAAUAAGCUUCCAGGGACUGAGGGCACAGUAAGAUAGGAAUUUUAUUAAUCAUUGUUAUCCUUUAGCAGUAUGUAUUCAAAUUAUAAGAAAGAAUAAAAGUAUGUAUGUGCUGCUUAAGUGUUAGGGUGAAGUAUACUGAUGUUUUAUAUUUACAAACCGUUUUUUAAUAAGAUAGUUUGAUGGGGAUGUAUAGAUAUGUGAUAAAAGAAAUAUAGAAAAAGGUUGAUUGUAGAAUCUAUAGUGGGUUUGCACAUGCUUACUGCACACUUUAACUUUUCUGUAUAUGCAAACAUUUUUAUGAUACAAUUUUGGAAAAUUAUUUUUAUCAGAAGAAAGGUUAUUACAUAAUUGUUGAAGGCAGUCAAUCUGAUAAGGCACAAAGAGAGAUGCCAGUAAUAACAUGGUUCAACUCCUUAUAAGUAAAACUACAAGCUAUUCUAUAUUCUAAAAUAAGUGCUUUUUAAAAUAAGUAAAUCUAUGCUUUAGCUAAAUUCCUUUCAGAUUUACACAUAUAUUUUGAAAAGAGAUUUUGCUCUCUUCUCUAGAUCACAUGUUUAUACCUAAUUAUUUUUUAUGGUUGUCUAUUAUUUAAGGCUAACCUAAAGUUAUCACCUUGUGCUAUAUUUUAGUCAAUGAGCUUAUUCAGUUUUAUGGUUCUCUCUGGGUAUUUAUAGAGUGUACUUUAUACUGCAUUUCUAGUUCCCUAUAACCAAGGAAACAAUCUAUACUACUGUAUUUCAAAUCAUUGCCAUCCUGACCAUUACUUCAUUUGCAAUAAAAAUCACAAACUGUGCAAGUGCAUUUCAUACAUGCUCAUUUUUUUUUCAAGUGUUUAUAAGUAAAUGUGUGUUCAGCCUUGGUGUAGAGAAAGUCACAGACCCCCCACAUGGUGGGAUUUGUGUGAGGCUUGAUGGGAUAUUAAGGGUGCAUUCCCAUGAGGCUCCUUUCCAUGGGAAUUUCCAUGCUUUAUUCCAACUUUCUUAUUUUAAUAAAAUAUGUAAGUAUUCUCUUGAAAGGUAAAUGUUAUCACCUGCCAUAAGUUUUUAAUUAAUAUAAUGUCCCAAACAGUCCUAAGAAAAUUUGCAUGGGCAGAGUUCAGAGCAUAGGAAUUCUCUGCAGUCUGUAACAUCUGAACUUUCUUCAGAUCAGCAGGCACAGGAGAUUUGGUAGUUUGAAAAUUAUGUGUUAAGGACCAAGCAAUAAGGUAUUUUAAUGCUGAAAACGGCAGUACAAAAGGGUUUUUUGAAGGUUAACUUUGUGUCAACUUGACUGGGCCAUGGUACCCAGGCAUUUGGUCAAACAUUACUCUGCAUGUGUCUGUGAAGACAUUCAAAAGGUUGAAUGAGAUAAACAUUUGAAUUGGUAGACUGAUUAAAGCAGAUUCCCCUCCCUAAUGUAGGAGGGCCCCAUCCAAGGAGUCUAAAGAGAACAAAAAGUCUCAUCCACCCACAAGGAGGUGGGAAUUUCCUUCUGACUGACCUGAGUUAUCUUUUUCUUUUUCUUUUCUUUGCCUUUUGACUUGGACUGAAACAUCUAAUCUUCCUUGUUUUGGAAUCUGCAGGCACUCAGUGAAACUAUACAUUGGCUCUCCUGGUUCUCAAGCCUUCAGAUUUGAACUGGAACUGCAAGAUCUGCUCUCCUGGUUCACAGGCCUUUGCACUAAGACUACACUACUGGCUUUCCUGGAUCUCCAGCUGGUCAACUGCAGAUCUUGGGAUUCUCAUCAGUUUCCAUUGUCAUGUGAGCCAAUUCUUUGUAAUAAAUCUCACUCAUAGAAAGAUAGAUAAAUAGAUAGAUAGAUAGAUAGAUAGAUAGAUAGAUAGAUAUCCUAUUGGUUCCAUUUCUCUGGAAAACUCUGACCAAUACAGACUCUCCUAGAUGAGAUGAUAGAAGGAGAAAAUCUCCUUGUCAGUUGGCUAAGAGAAAAUUUGGAUAAUCUAUAUUCACAUAUGUAUGUAAUAUUUGUUCUAGAUAUGAUAACCCAAGAAAUCUUGAAAAACAAAAGAUUAUUAUGUCUUUGCUACGAAAUCACACUUAUUCAUUUAAGCAAUGAAUUAAUGACAUAGUCAUUAUAAUGCUUUUGGUUCUGUUAUUGAUAUACAUUAAAAUAUUGUCAUUAGGUUAUAAAUCACCAGUCAAUAUCAAUAUAUGUUUAAAAACAUUGCUAAUACAUAAUCUUAGGAAUUUUCUUUUAUUCUUAAAUUAUUAUUGACUAUUUUAAACAUCAGACUGCAUAUUCUGUUAGUUUUCUGUUGUUUUACUAUUUGCCAGGCAUAAUAAAUAGCUCUCAGUUUCUUUUACUGUAAUAUUCAUAUUAAUCUUUUAUGCACUUACCCACCUAAGUUCAUUUUCAUCAUUCCAAACUUGUCUUCCACAGUCCAGAUAUGUAGUUGUACUCAGAUUAUAAACUAUUCCUUUUCGGGCACAAAUAAUGUUGUCUUUUGAUUACUCAGUGAUAUAAUUUGGUGAUAUGAGAUCAAAUUAUAUUUAUGUUGCUUUCUCUUGCCUAUGGCUGACAAUGAUCAUGUCACUUACAACUUGGGCUUACUCUAAUAACCAGGAAAAGGUAAUUCAAUCAUGACUUAAGUACUCACUGUGGUAAAAUUUGUCUAAUAAGUAGGUGAAAUAAGACCCAAGAUCAAAGAACACUCACUCUGUGAGCAAACACUAUCCUAUAAGUAAGUAUAAGUGUGGUCAUUUUAAAAAAUAAAGAAGAGAUUAAGGUGGCAACAAUUAAUAAAGCAAAUAAAAAAUUGUAAAGUGAUCAUGAAAUCAAUAACUAUGAAAUUAUCCAGCCAUAGAAACUACAAGACAACUAACCCUUAUUAAAAUUAAAAAAUUAAGAAAACAUCUCAGGUUAUAUGAUGCAUUUGUAAGAGGUAUUGUUUGAAAACAGAUUUUGUGAACUUUUUCAUUAUCUUGACCAAAGUAUGGUCAGAAAAAUCUCUCAUUCUUUUUUAGAUACUCUAAAAUUUAGAACUUUAUAAUAGGAAUUUAAAGAUUUCUUAAUAUCCUUUGGGCAAAAUUCAAUAUAAAAUCUUACACUUGUAUGGAAUCUUAAGGUCAAUAUGAUGAACUGAAUAGGAAAAAAUCAAUGUAAAAACCUGCACUGGUACAAGAUGCUAUGAUGAUAUAGAAAGAAUAGCAUUCAAAUAAACAAAAAAUCGUGUAGCUAUAUGAUGACCCUCUCCCUCCUCUCUCCCUCCCUUUCUCUCUCUCUCUCUCUCUCUCUCUCACACACACACACACACACACACACAACACAUACACUUUCUGUGUGUGUGUCUUUGUCUCUCAUUAAUUUUGCUGUUCAAUUUUAACCAAUAUAGAAAUAUAUUGCUGUGUUACCAUUAGCCUCUCUGGUUAAACACUAUACACUUCCUGGAAAGGAUUUUGAAAAUAAUCAUUACCCUUUCUGAUUUUGUUUCUUCCUUUGCUUUGUUUUUGUUUUUAUUUUUCUUAGUUUAGGAUUAGAAAGAAUUUUUACAAACCAUUUGUAUAUGUAUAAACUUGGAGAAGUUUACCUGGUUUAUGCAAAGAUUUCUAAAGUGCAAGAAUAAGGUAAGGAAGGAAGACGAACUAUACAGUACCCCCCCAAAAAGAAGAAUAAAUAAAUAAAUAAAUAAAUAAAUAGGAAAAUAUGGAAAGACUAAAUGAAUGAAUAAUUGUCUUUAAUAACAUUGUUUUAUUUUAUCUAUGCAGUUUUCUAUAAGGUUGCAGAAGCAAUUUCCUUUUUACUUUAAUUUAUUUGCCUUUCAGUCUCAGUAAUCAGAUAACCUCUUUGUGCCUGUGUGUGUGUAUGUGUGUGUUUCUUUGUUGUGGUACCAUACUGUUUAAACAUGUAAGCUUAGCAUUUGAAGAAAGUUCUAUGUUGAAAUGAAGCUUUUAAAUAUUAUAACCAAGUUAAACAGUUUUAAAUCUUUGAAAACAUUCUUUUUUUUUAUUUUGUUUGUCUCACAUUUACAAUGAAAAGAAUUUAAAAGAAACACUAAAAUCACACCAUUAGCCACUGAGUAGAGUGCAUGUAAGGAAAGUGGGCUCUGGACUCUUUCCAGGAGGGCUUAAUUGUGGUUCCACAAUCAGGACAUUGUUGCACCAGGCUUUACCUACCUGGCAGAUUUACACAUAAACUCAAAACCAUAGUAUAGAAAAGCUCCAGUGACUAUAAAUAUUUGGCCAUAAAUCUAGCAAAAGCUGGAAAAUACAGAAGAAUAAAGAAGAUAUCAAAAUUAACAGUAAGAAUCAGGUGAGAAAUUGAUUAGUAUGUUGCAUAACACAAAUUCUCCUUCAGGUUUGAUUUGGUGAGUGAUCCUAAUUACAGGGAAAUAGUUUUGUUUUGUUUUCAGAAAAGUACAUAUAAUUCUUAGAAUUUUAGCAGCUCAGAAAUGGACUAGUUCACUAGGCCAACAAAUAAGUACCAAGAAUUUUGAUUAUUAAACAGUUAUAGCCAAACAACCUAGUAAGUAUUUAUGUCCCGAUAACCUAAAUUGAAAAAAAAAAUGAAAAUAAUACUUUAAUUCAUUCUGAAAUUAUUUACUAAUUACUUAUGAAUAAGGUGUAUGCAUAUGUUGGGCACUUUACUACUUUUCAUACCUUGGAAUCUGAUUGAGCACUGGGAACCUCAUUACCUGUUCCACAAGGAUUUUCAGGAGAUACUUGAUUUUAUCACAUCACCUGCUGAGACCAACUUCACACAGCUAUGAUGUCCUAGAAAGGAAUGUGCCCUCACUAAUGUUGAAACUGUGAAAUACCUUGACUACAUGACUCAUACGAUAGAUGUUGAGCCUUGUUAUAUUUACCUUGAAAUUUUAAAAUAGCCCACAGCCUGCUAGAUGAGUCCACUUAUCACUGCAAAGUUACCUUAGUGCAUAGUCCUGGAAUCACAAAUUUAGGCUAUUAGAUACCAAUGUCAAGUAUAAUCCUUGAGUUUUCAAAUUGAGAAGUGAAAAAGCCUUUGCUACAUGGAAAGUGAGUGGGAAACAACCAUCAAAGCUCACAGUCCUACCUCUUAAUCUUGGUAUUUUUAAAUUUUUUUCUCAGUCCAGAUAUUGCAAGUACUUCUUAGUAUUCACAGUAUAAUUGUAAUUUUGGAGAGUUUGUUGGCCUACAUAGUGAUGUAGCAUGGGACCAUUAUCAUAGCUUGAGGCAAGUGGUACUUAUAUAUUUUAAAUAAAAUAAUAGAAUAAAUGCCUAGUAGGGCUUUUUUUUUCUUUGACACAGUAUUUUAUGAUUUGGACUAAAUGUUUUCCAAAGGUUCUAACUAUACCUUUUCACUCAGGAGAGCUACUUGUUUUAACAGUCUGUAUGAGGUAUAUUGUACUGAGAAGAGGAAUAUGCCUUCUCAUGUAUAUAUCCAAACUACAAAUAAACCUGGAGUGCUUCAAGGGGAGCAUUUGAGUGUGUAUUCCAUUUUAUCUCAGUUUUGCAUUUGAAUAACCCAGUUAACUAUAUAAAUAAUGUUUCCUUUUAAAAACAAAUAUCAUAUAGAAUCAGCUAAGGCCCUUACUGGAUUUUAUCUGGAUUAUAAGAACCCAAGAAUGAGAGUGUUAAACUAGAUCUGUUGCUUUCUGAAUAAACUGUGAGCAAUAAUGUCCCCAUUGACAGUAAAGCAAGGUAUGCUAAAAUUAAUAGUCAAGAGUAUAGACUACCUAUUAAUGAAAAGAAAAAAUAUGAUGGAAGCAAUAUUUUCUUGCAAUAUUUUAGACAGGGUUGGAUAAUAUUGAUCAUUAGCAAUGAUACUUAAUAACUGACAUUCUUGUGAGUUCAAAUUUUGACUUAUUCAUUUUCCCACCUAUUCAUUUUUUUUGAGAGAGAGAGAGAGAGAGAGAGAGAGAGAAAGACAGAGAGAGAGAGAGAGAGAGAGAGAGAGAGACAGAGAAUUUUAAUAUUUAUUUAUUUUUUUUAGUUUUUCAGCAGACACAACAUCUUUGUUUGUAUGUGGUGCUGAGGAAUGAACCCGGGCUGCACGCAUGCCAGGCAAGCGCGCUACCGCUUUAGCCACAUCCCCAGCCCCCACCUAUUCAUUUUUAAAAUUGCAAUUUCUUACAGUCUACUUUGUUAUCAAAUGUACAUACUUUUAAACAGUUGCAGUCAUAAUCUCUGAAUGCGAUCAUGAUUAGCUGGCUUUUAUUGGCAGGAUACUUUUAAUUUUUAUUCAGAUUAAAAUCAUUUAUCAUCUACUAAAAAGUAGGUGUUUGAAGGAAUGAAACACAGCACUAGUACUGGGCAGGAAGGUAUAUCUGGGACAUUGUGCUCACUCUCAGUCGAAAGACUUCUAUAAAUCUGUGGAGAGAUGUUGCAUCGAGUUGGUCAAUGAAUUCAGAUGAUUUGGAGUGAGUAGGAAGGGCAUUUCACCUAUACUGUGAGUCCAGGACUGAUUCUGAUUAUUUCACAUACAACUGCAAGAAAAGAAAACAAUAAAUUGGCUGAUACCUAGGUAACUUAAACAAUAUUUAGGUAAUUGAGACAUUGGGGGAAAUAAAUUAUAUGUAAAUACAAGGUAAUAGAAGAAAAAUAAUAAUUUGAUUAUUUUUAUUUUCAUGAAAUCUUAUUACCUAAAUGUAAAAAAUAUAUGCAGACAUAUAUGUAUGUAUGUGUUUCCAUAUUUUCCUUCUAAAUUGAUUAAAUUUUCUAUUAUUGGUACAAUUACUUUCCAGCCAGGUAGAUAGUUGUUUUAGUUAGCUUUUUCACUGCUGUGUUCAAAAGACUUGACAAAAACACUUUUAGGGGAGGAAAAAUUUACUUGGGGGCUCAUGGUUUCAGAGGCCUCAGUCCAUAGAAAGUGGAUUUCAUUCCUCAGGGCUCAAGGUGAGGCAGAGCAUCAUGGUGCAAGAGUGUGGUGGAGGGAAGUGUCUCAAGAUAUGAUGAUUAGGAAGAAUAGAGAGAGAUUCCACUCACCAGAUACAAAAUAUAUACCUCAACAUCACGCUCCCAAUGUCCACCUCCUCCAACCAUACUCUACCUGCCUUCAGUUACCACUAAGUUAAUACCCAUGGCAGGAUUAAUUCACUGAGUGGUUUAAGGGUCUUACAACCCAAUGAUUUCACCUCUAAAUAUUCUUGCAUUAACUCAUACAUGAGCUUUUGGGGGAUAGCUCACACCUGAGCCAUACAGAGUAGCAAAUCUAUAGAAAUAAAUUCACAGGAAGUCAGAAAUGGAAUGUUUAUGAAGAGGGAUAGAAAACUGCUUCUGUGAUUGGAACUGAAACUGAAUAAUGUUAAUCCUAUGGUGCAGUCAUAUGCCAACUGGACUGUGCUUUCUUUCCCCUUCACUUCCUUGUUCUCAUUGCUCUGCCAAUAUGCUUUCUUUCGGUUUUUCUAUUCCUAAGACAGCUCUCUUUAAUUGUCCUAGUAAAUGUGCUACUCCUUUGAGUUUUACCACCGUUUUUCAGCAUCCUUGUGUAGCCUGCUCCUAUUCAUUGGAGUCUGCUGUCUUGUCACCAGAAAGUGUUUGGAGACUUUACUUUGCAUAUACAUGAAAAGACCAGUUCUUGUCCUACUCUUCUGUUUCUUUUACCUGUGAUAUCUGCUGUCACGCCAGGUCCUCUUUUUUUUUUUUUUAUUUACUUCAAAAAUAAGAUCAUUUAUUUUUUAACCAAUAAAACUGUUUCUUAUCUUAUAUCUUAAAUACAGAAUUGUUAAGUAUUUUACAGUAUGAUAAUAAGUGACACACGAUGUGUGUAAAUGUAUAUCACACACAGACAUACACAGAGUGAGCAAGCAAGGAGAAAGGGAAAGCUAAGAAACUAUAAGGUACUAUACAAACAUAAGGUAGAUUGAAUUUCCUAUUUGUACCAAUUAAAUUUCCUUUUAUUUUUAUGUGUUUUGAAUAUCUUAGAGUUUUGUAUUUGAGUAAUAAGUGUUGAAAGUGGCAAAUUUCUCAGAUUGUUAUACAGUAUUUAUGUAUCUUUAGAAUUGUAAGUAGUCAACAGCAUAGAAUAAAAAUGUCAUUUUUUUUUCCUUAUUACAUGUUGAUUUAAGGAUUUCACAUUGAACCCUCCCAAAACAAUCAAAUAUUAUGGGCACCUCUUUGAUGUUUCUCAGAGCCUCAUAGCUGUGUUAAGACCUCACAGUUUAUAUUUGGCUCCAUUCUUUCACUCAGUUUCUUUGAUUCUUCACAAUAAAUGAAACAUGUUUUAUAUACCAACCAUUAUGCCAGUCUGAAAACAAAAUAAAUGAUACAAAGUAAAAAUUCCUGUCAUCGUAAUUCCUAUACUGCAAUAGAAUAAUUCCAAGUUUUAAUAUUUGGAAGACAGGUUAUUGUCCUGCUGCCAUUUACACUCAGUAGUUCAGAGCCUUUGAAAUAAUUCCUGAUGAAGUGUCAAGGAUAAUCCUCCUCCUUGCUUCAUAAACAAAUGCAAUCAAACCAAAUGAAAUAAUAAAUGCCAACACUAAUAAAUGCCAGGCUAGGAUUGUGUGUCUUAUCAAGUUUCUCUAGAAUUUCUGAAACUUAUUUAUUCUUUUUAAUUUAAAUACAGAGGCCAUUAAAGCCAGAUUGCUUGGUAAUGGCAAUUUCUCCCAUCAUUGAAAGAUUUUUUAAUGAAUUAAUAUUAACAUUGGAAUCUGUAGUAAAUUCUAAUAAAAUCCUAAGGAAUAAUGAUAUCUAUUUUACAGUAAUCAGAUGUUUCAAAUUAGGAGUGAGGAGCAUAGGACAAAUGUAGCUUUAAGGUUGACCUAAAGUAUUGGAUAUUGCAGAUUAGUUACUUAAAAUUAAAUCUGUAAGCCAGGCAUGGUGGCUUAUGCCUGUAUCUGCUGCAGCUCAGGAGGCUGAAGCAGGAGGAUCCCUAGUUCAAAGCCAGCCUCAGCAACUUAGCAAUGCACAAAGCAACUCAGUGAGACCCUGUCUCUAAAUAAAAUACAAAAAAAAAAAGGGCUGGGGAUGUGGCUCAGUGGUUAAGUGCCCCUGAGUUUAAUUACUGGUACUCCCCCCAAAAAAAAUCUGUGUAUAAAUGCUUAUAUCUUCUUAUCCCAUAUUAGCUUUAAAUUCAGUGUUGUUAUUUUUAAUCUUAAAUAAUUUAAAUUUUAAAGUUAACAUUUAUUUCAGUUAUUAAAAACUUUUAAAUUUGUUUGAAACACCUUUAAUAUGUUCAAUUUUUUCCAAAUGCAAGUUUUAUAUUCUUUUUUAUAUUUUAUUUUUUGGUAUUAGGGAUUGAACUCAGGGGCACUUAACAACUGAGCACAUCCUCAGCCCUUUUUAUUUUAUUUUUAUUUUGAGACAGGGCCUUGCUAAGUUGCUUAGAACUUCCAUAAUUUUCAGAGCCUAGUCUCAAACUCUUAAUCCUCUUGCCUCAGCCUUCCAAGAUGCUGGGAUUAAGGGUGUGUGUCACUGUGCUUGGAACUGCAAAUUUUAUGAGAACUGAACACAGACCAAGUAUUUUUGAUUAAAUCUUAGCAUUCACAUAGAGAAACACUGAAAGGGUUUCACCUGUUUUUGUUUUUGUUUUUUUUUAAGACAGCAUGGAAAAAGUAAAAUAAUUAAUAAUUUUUAUCUGGAUUACAUGUUAAAAAGGUGAUAUUUUGGAUAUGUUGAAUAACAUAAAUUAUAUUAUAAAUUUGGUUUCAUUGGUUACUUUUCACUGCUCUUACGUGACCACAAGAAUUUUUUUAAAAUUACAUCUCACCUUAUAUUUUUACUGGAGAGCACUAGAAAGUUUUAUACAACCAGAUUAUAUUUUAUGUAUAAUGUAUUUGUUAUUAUCUGUAACCACCAGUUAUUUCUGCAAUAACAAAAUUAUUAACAUUUGCUUUAGAAUUUAUAGGUCAGGUAUUUUCCUCAUAUGGUCUGAUUUUAUGUCAUAUCAAUUUCAUUCCUAAUUGCAUAUAGUUUUAUGAUAGAUAUGUUUAGGUUACUCAUUAUCAUUUUGGCAAAUUGGUCAUUUUAAAAAGAUCUCAUUAGAAAUUAUUUUGCUGCAUGAAGGCAUAUAGACAAGUUUAUUUUUGAAAGGAGAAAAAGUUUAGCUGGGCAUGAUGGCACACUCUUAUAAUCCCAGCAACAGGAGACCCGGUCAGGAUCAUUGCAAAUUUGAAGCCAGCCUCAUCAACUUAAUGAUGCCCUAAGCAACUUAGUGAGACCCUUUCUCAAAAGAAAAAAGAAAAAAGAUUGGGGAUGUAACUCAGUGGCAAGCACCCCUGGGUUCAAUCCCCAGUACCUAAAGACAGAGAGAAACAGAAAGGGAAAGAAGAGUAAGUUGUCUUGAGAUAGACUAGCUCUUGAUGCACCUGAUCAAUGUGGCAUUUAUUGUCUGAGCCUUUGGCAUCCCCUGAGAAAGUCUUCUCAAUUCAUGGAUAUGGUUCAAGAAAGAUAAAUUCAGGAAAAAAAAAAAGUAUAAGAUGCAUAUUUAUUCUGAGAAACUAUCGGCCAGCCAAAAAGAGAAAAGGUUAGUCCAUUCACAUCAUAUUGCUUGUCUGGGAAUCUUAGAAAAAAGGCAAAAGGAGCCAUAAAAUUAAAGAAAACAUUGACGGGGUUUUUCAGACACUAAAAAAUGCCAUCCCUCUUUUCUUUCUUAUGAAAACUCUCUUUCUGGGAUCACUAAAAUAAACCAAAUAUCAAAAGCCCUUCUUGUUCUUUCUAAAACUUGCUUACGUCCUGCUCUUGAGAUCCAUGUCUAAUGCAAUUUGGGGAAAAUACCGUAUUACCAUGGAGAAUGAUUAAAUGGAAACAAGACCACCAUGAGUUAGAUUCCUUAUUUCCCUGAUGUAAUCUGUGUCUUUUAUAAAUAAAUUAUGACAUAUUUAGAAAGUUUUAUUAUUGAGUUCUAAAUAAUGUUGUAAUUUCAUGUCUAGAGAAAUAAAUUUUGACUUUAAAACAAUAAAAUUCAUAUGGAAUUAACUUUGGCUGAUACUGAAGUUGUAGAUAAAACUAACCAUUUUCUCAGUGUUUUACUAGGAAUUUUAUUUUUCAAACUUUUUUUUUGUAUUGGUGAAGACAUGACUUCUCAAACUUCAAUUAAAUGAAUGAUUGAUUAAUUUAAAAAUUGGGGGUAAAGCACCCAGAAAAUUAUCUUUUUUAGUGAUAUUGAUAAAUAAUUGUUUAGAAAUUCUAAUAUACCAAAACCAACUUCUAUAUAGUUCACAGAAACAUAUUGGGUCUCUCUUUCUUCCUUCCUUCCUUCCUUCCUGUCUUUCUUUCUUUUUUGGUAGCCCUCAAGCUUAAAUAGUACAUUAAUGUAUUAAAGCUUUGUUAAAUGCAUAUAUUUUUUACUCUUUUCCGAUUUUCUUUCUUUGAGUGCAAAGUGCAUUGCACACAUCAUAAAUUAAUACUGAGAAAUCUAAAUUUACCCCUUUAGAGUCUCAGUGAUGGCUUUAUAAAUGGGCCCUUGUUUAUUCUGUGUGUGGCCACUUCGGUUGUUAGUAGGGGUUACACUGAUCGCCUUUCCUCAGAUUUAUGAGACUUGGCAAAAAAAAAAAAAAACUUUUGAGAAAACAGAGCCCGGUUUCUCUCAAUAGAAAACAUCAUUAGAUACUAAAUAAACAUUAAUUUAGGUAAACUGGUACUACGCAGCCCACAAGGAACACGUUCUUGUUUAUAUUUCACUCUGAUGCAUGAAGGAGUACAUGGGGGAAUUGAUUUAUGGAAAUCACAAAGAAGGUAUAUUUAAGCAAUACUUGACACUUUAUUCUUAGGAUACCUUCCUGCUCUGUCAUGAAGGGCUCUGAUACUCUGCCAGGAAGAGCAUGCAUCAGGUCCUUCUCCCAGUGUGGAAAGAUCAAGAGAACACUCAAUCUUUUAAAAAUUAGUACAGAAUCCCCAAUAGUACAAUGAUUGAUUUCCCCUGGAUUCCAACAAAUCUUUGAGAAAUAGGGUAUAUUGUGAAAUUAGUUAACACAGGGUUUGGAAGUAAAUUAUUAACUCUUUAACAAUGUAGAUAUUCCUGAAGUGUUUAAAGCACUUAAAAGGGUAACUUUAACUUAUCUCUCAUCAACAAGUUAGUGUCUUUUAAAAGAAAAAGGGGGUGAUUGAUAUGUGUGCUAAGUUAAAGAUGACAGGGCUGUAGCUAGUCAAUAUGCCAUGUUUAAUUGGAUCCUGAGUUGGACAUGCCAGCUAUAAAGAACAGUUUUGGGACAUUCUGGAAAAAUUUUAAUGUGGACUGGUCAUAAAACAAAAUUGUGGGCAAAGGAGAAAAUUAACUCAAAGUGGUUAUAAAAUAGAAAGUUCAAUAUAAUUUCAUUUUAGUAAAAUACAUGUACAUGUAAAAUACAUGUACAUAUAUAUUGCAGUAAAAAUGCAUGUAAAUGUGGAAGGAUAAAGAAGAUUUUUAAUAUUUUUAGUAUUUUUCUCUAACUGGGGACAAGAUGUGAAUAUAAUGUAGGAAUAUAAUGUUUUUAUUUUCUUCUUUUUGCUUAUCUUUGACUUUAACCCCAUAGAGUACAAGCCUAGCACUNCUACUAAGUAUUUCCUCUCAGCUACUGGAAACUUCUGUUCUUCAGAUUGCUCCUUGAUGCAUUUGCGAAGAUGCUGCCAAAUGUCUUUUUGCACAUAUGCUUGUUUUUUAGCACCUGGAAACUUGACAGAGCUUCCAUUCUUUUUCCACUUUCUUCCUCAGAUUUGACCCUGCCCUCCUGGUACAUCUCUGCCAUACUAUUUUUCCUACCCUUUGCACCUCCACCCAGCUGCACCUUCAGAGUAUUCCCUGGCUUUGAACACUUACAUGACCUGAACAUUCCACUCUCUUUUUCCAUUGUGGAAGGAGAUAUAUUUUAAUCAAACAUGGUGGGCAAUAGCUUUGUUUUGUGGCUUAGAAAUCCAUAGGUGUGAUUUGCAAUGUGUUUUUCUUGAUAACAAACCAGUUGGUUUAAAAAAAGCACUCAGACUUUGCUAAAGAUUUCAGAUCUGUUUUCCUACAAUAAUAAACUGAUUACAGCAGAUUUUCUCUUUUAUAGUGAUACUGAAUAUUUCUUGAAUUGUGCCAUUUUUAGGGCACAAGUUCAAAAACAUUGCUCUAAAUGAAAGGGUGUUUUAAGCUCCUUUCUGGCGUUGCUUAUACAGCAAUUCAUUCAACAUUGGGCCAUGCCCCCAGGAAAACCAGGAGAAAUCUGGGUUAAACAGGUUUGGCUCAUAACAAGGACUCCUUGGUAAUAAGAAGCAGUUAAUAAUGUGUUCAUGUUUUUCAGGUUGUAGAAUAUAUAUUAAAGGGGAUAAAUAAUAUAUGAUAGAAUGAGGAAAUAAAUACUCUGCUGAAACAUGUGGGGCAAAAUUUGUGCUAAUGUUUGAUGUAAGUAUGGUGAAAAACAUCUCGAUUUUUUUAAAAGUAAGUGUUCAUAUACAGAUUAGAAGCAUAUCACAACUUAAGGACCACCUUCACUAUUCCCUUCAUUUCAAGUUGAGGAAAUUGCAAUUCAAAAAGGUAUAAUAAUUUGCCAACAGUAACAGUGAUAUUUAUUGGCAGAGCUUAAAUCAGAACUGACAUUAUUUUUAAUACUGCAUUAUUUCUAAUUUUCAUGUUGUCAUAUUAAAAGUUUUACAUAUUCAAGAAACAGGAGAAAGUACAGAAGUCUUAUUAAAUAAAUCAAUGUGUAUUUUAUAAAAUCAUUGAAUUUUAAAAUGAAUGUUUCAUGUUAAACUUAUUUGUCUUGGAAGACCACAUUUCUCCCUAUAAAAAUUCAAGAAGAGUAAUCUUAAACAUCUUAGUUCAUUUCCAUUGGUGCAUAUGAGUUUAUUUGGGUCCAAAAUAUAGGAUAAGUAGCAUUAUAUAAUUUCAUUAAAUUGGAUUAAUUCUCAUAUAGAGAAGUCUUAUAAGAAUUCAAACUCUACAUAUUCAUUUCUUACUCAUCUUAAAAUUGACUAUGAAUAGCUUGAUAUUUUCACUAUAAUUUGGAUUGCAAAAAGAUAUAACUCUUUGUUACAUUACUCAAAAAUUUGUUUAUAUUGCUAUUUUCAAAUCAACUCAGAUAUCUUGGUUUGUAGCUAUUUCAUAAAAAUGCAUUUGGGCAUCUUUAGGAUGCCCCUGGUUUAUCCAGAAAGAACAAAUUCUAGUUCAAAAUCAGAGCUCAGGGGCUGUUUAUUUCCAGUUUUAAAACAAAAACAAAAACAAAACAAACAAACAAACAAACAAAAAACCAUUCUCCUUCCGGUAAACAUGAAGGAAACAAGACUUUGUUCUAACAUGUCUAAUAAGCACAAAGUUCCAAAGAGAGUUAUCAUUGUUUCAGGUGGAGUUCUGUACUUGAAAAAGUAGAAAUGCUUUACAUGUUCACAGGUGACCUACAUGAUAUAAAUUAAAUAAGCUUUCUAAAUUAAAUUGCAGUUUCUCCAUCUCACCAUUUUGAUCCCUUCCAUUUUUCUCCAUAGCACUUAGCACAUUCUAUGUUAUAUUAUUUCCCUUCUGUUUUCUAUUUCUAAACUACAAGUUGCUUGAAUAGAGAUUCUUUUUUCUGUGUUCCCUUCUGUAUCUGUAGUUCCUAACAAGGUGCUGGACAUUAGAAGGUACACAAUAAGCAUUUAUUCUCUUGAAUGAAUAAAUCAAUGAAUUGUCAUCCACAGUGGUGGCUCAAUUGUUUUAAAUUAAAUCAAAUCAUAUAUUUUUCUCCUUAUUUUAGCAAGCAUUAAUAAUGAUCUUAUAAACUUAAUUUUACAAAUGUUAGUAAUUAUUUCACAUACAUUUUAAAAUUUAAAGCUUAUUUAUAAGUAGUGACCUAUAACAAUAAAUUAAUUGUUCAAUAAUUAUUUAUAUCACACAAAUUUAUCUAAUUUUACUGUUUUAUUUGACAAUUCCUAUAUUUUCUGCUAUCCUGAUAUUUUACAGAGUUUUAACCACCACACAGGGAGGAAAAAUCUAAUUAAGUAUACUGUAUAUUGUUUGAUGGGAACAGUUUCUUAUUCCUCAAAAGCACUAUAGAUUAUAAUAUUUAUCAUUUGUUUCAUUCUUUAUCAUGUAAAUAGAAUGGACAUCUUAAUGUAGUUAUAAAAAGUUAAUACAGUAAUACUUCAUAAAUCUUAAUAUGGGCAUUUUUUCUUAUUUUAAGUUUUCUGAAAUCAAUGGCAUUGUACAAUCAAUGCCAAGCCGUAGUUUGAAUGGCAACAUUAUUUUCUUACUGAAAUUUAAAAUAAUGAUGUAAUUACAUCUUAUAGUAGAUUAGAUAAGGUAUAAUAAAUAAUUAUUCAUUUUCUCAGACAUGUUUUCACAAUGUUUAAGAGCAUUAUUCUUAAAAAUAGCAUUACCUAAAAAUUCUAUGAGAAAGACAGAACUAUUGUUUUGAUUUCAGGACAUUAUAUGCCUGAAAUUAAAAGCAUUUGCUGAUAUAAAAUAAUAUUUUCAUUGUUAAAUAAUAUAAAAUAGAUAUCUGGAUAUCUGAUGAUAUUUUUAAAUAUUGUGCACCUCUUUAGAACCACAGAACCACUUAUACCCAGUAGUCAAUGCUCACAUCUUAUUUUUUUAACAUGUUAGCAGCAUUUAACUCAGUGGCUCAUUGAUCACUAUUAUAUCUUCCAUCCAAGAUCUAAUGUGCCUCCAGAACCACUCAUGCUUCUGGUUCUCUUCUUCCCUCACUAACAGCAUUCUCCCAAUCUCAAUCCCUGAAUCCUCCUCACCUCCUUGACUUUUGAAUAAUGCAAUGUGUUGGGGUCCAGACCUUGCAAUUGCUCUUUCUUCUUCCUGACCUCCUUUCCUUGGCAACCUCCCCUGCCACAAUCCACCUUCAUGCUGAUGAUCACCAGGAUUACACAUCUGUCCCUGGCCACUGCCCUUACCUUCUGGCUUGAACUCAUUGGCCUGCUCAGUGUUGCCAGCUAGAUGUCCAGUAGACAGAGAGACCCAAAGCCCAAACUGGGCCUUCCAGACACCUUCUCAACUACUCUUUCAUAAUACCACGUGUCCAAACUCUCCAUGAAUGGUGUUAGCCCUAUCUUCAGACACUAGCGGAAUCUGACUUUCACUUUUUGCUUCUAUAGGUAACAUUCUGUGUGUUUCAUCUGCUAAUUAAUAAUUUCCUCCAGAACUUUGCUCCAGUGUAAGUUUUUAAUAGGUACCCUGUCAGUACUUCUAAUUGAAACUCAACUCAAAGCAUUCUUGAUCCUAUUUUCCCAUACAGCAUUUUGUCACAAUCUUAAUAUGUGUUUUGACUACUAUGUUGUCCUGCACUUAUACUUAAUAGAAAGGAAGUUCCAUAGAGUCAGGAACUUUAUGUCUAUGUUUUAUCUUCAACUCCUAAAGUCUCUAUAACAUUAUAAAAGCUCUAAAAAUAAUAGGUAGAUAAACUUAGAACUAUCAGCAUCACUUCAAUGGAAAAUAUUUCUUUAUUCUUCCCACCCUUGCUCUACGUCUUCUUUUCUUUCUUUCUUCUAGUGAAACUUAUUAACAUGUGGACUAUGUUUCAGACCUAUAGCUUUAUAUCACAUAAUUUAUCUGUGUAUUCAAAACUUCUGAUAAUUUUUCACAAAAAUGAUAUUUAGAAUACCUUUGCUUAUAUAUAGUUCAAGAAAUUCUCCCAAGUAUAUUUUACAAUAUGGAAAAUAUAGUGGCAACAAACUAAUUCUCUGGUGUAUUUCCCUUUAUACUAUAUAGAGUUAGACAUAAAAUAUCAUGCUCCCAGAUUAAAAAGAAAAUUUGUCAGCCAUGAAGUGAAAUUAUGCUCUUUACAUGACUUCUCGUCCUUUUAAAAUAUUUUAUCAGCUCUGAGUUAGUUAUCAUUAUCAAAAUUCCAUGCAAUUUUAUUAUCAAUAGCUUGUUAACUAGUACUUUAGCAGGAACAUUAUUUUUAAAGUUAUUAUUGGAAACCAUAUCUGUCAAAUUUCAUAGAAAAAUUAGUAAAGAAAGAGCUACAUUUCUAUGUUGAAAGUAAGACAGAAAACACAGUAGAGUUGUUGAUAAAGUAGUGUUGAAAUAUUGUUGAUAAAGUAGUGUUACCCAAGAACUCUCAAAUUUUACAAAGAAUAGUCUGCUAGUUUUUAUUUGAUGAUCACAUAAAAGACAUAUAACUCUACUUUCUAAUAAUUUUAAGGCAAUUUAAUGUCAGUCAUGUUUCUGGCAUUGUCACAAAAUAUCUGAGAAUAUUAAUUUAAAAAGAGGGAAGAUUUCAAUCCAUGGUUGUUUGGCUUUGUUGUUUGGGGACUUGUGGUAAGACAAAACAUCAUGUGGGAGCAUGUGGUAAAGAAACGCUCCACAUUUUAUGGUGGCCAGAAAGCAGAGAGAGAAAGAGAGAGCAGAGGCUGGGGAUCCUUCUAGGGUAUGUUCUCAAUGACCUAACUUCCUUUCACUAGGUCUGACCUCCUGAUAAUUUGCCACGUCCCAAUCGCACCACAGUCUGGGGAUCAAGUCCUUAAUAAUUGAGCCUUCAAGAGACACUCUAAUCCAAAUUUUAGCAACACCAUUCUAUAUUGUUAUUGUUCUUAAAAAUAGUUUUAUGAUGAAAAAUGUAUCAUAAGGGAGUCAUCAAGUCUAUGUAUAGUUUAUAAAGAUUUUUAAUUAAAAAUAUGUGCUGUUUUCUGUUAUAGAAUUAUUUCAAAAUAUAGUGCUUAAACAAGAUAAUAGUGCAUUUCCGUUGUGCAAAGAGACUGAUGUAGUCAAGGAACCAUGGUGGGCAAGUGGCUUUGUUUUGCACUCUCAAGCUUUUUGUCUUGUUGCUAAGUUCCUCAGUGUAUUGCCCUCAGCUGGUAUGACCACAGCUGGCCUAGGAGCACCUUGUUCACAUUAUGCCUUAUUAGAAAAGGAAAGAAGGCAAGAAAUUUAUUUUAAAUACUUGUCAAUGCAUUACACACAUCACUUUGAAUUAGUAAAAAUUUAUUAAUUCUUACCAGCUAUGACAGAGGAUGAAAAAUGAAGCUUCUACCAUGUGUCUUGCUCACAGUUGGGACCGGUCUAUUUCUACUCCUUACAUGAAGUAGAGGUGAUGAUUCUUAGGGACAGUAAGUAGUUUCUAACACAGCCACAUGCCCAUUCCCAUAAGAUAGGAAUUUUUAAACAGAUAUUCUUCUAAAGGAAAACACUGAUUGGGAUAAAAGCUUGUUUUUAUCUUUCACUAUGUUUUCAUUACAAAUUUUCAAUCAGUCUACACCUAACUAAAACUCAUGGUAACUGUUCACUUGCAAGUUUGUCUUAAAAUAAAAUGUCCUAUUGUUGGUUGAACAUCUUAACAAAGUAGUUCACACCAGAACUACUUUAUACCUCAAUAAGGAAUGGUUCAAUUACACCCAGGCAUCUUAGAAACAAUGUGACACUUUUCCAUUCAUUCCUCCAUGUUUUUCAUCCAUAAAGUGGACGCUACCUCAGCAAUUCAUCCUCAAAAUUGUAUAUUUCAUCAGAUGAUCUAUAAGAAAUUUAGAAGCAGUUUCUGGAUUGUUAAAGAAUAUCAUUUGUUACUCUUAGAAGGUUUACAGGUUCUUGUAACCCUCAAAUUUAUUUAAAGAAUCAGAAAAAAAUAUUUUUAUUGCUUCUUUUUUAUUUGUCUAAUUUCUUAUCUAUGAAUCAAAUAAGCAUUAAAAACACUUUUACAUUGAGCCUACUUAGCUUGUGUGGACUAUUUGAAACAAGUAUAGGAGAGUGAACAUUUUAUUCAGCUAAUCAUUUUCUAAACCUCUGGAUAGGUAAGAGGUGAAUAGAACUCAGGUAACUCUUUGACUUCCAACAGGGUUAGGGCCCAAUGGGCUCAAGGUGAAAGGAUUAUAAGUUAAAUGCACAUUUAAUACACCUAACCUACAUAGCUUACAAACUAUCAUAGCCUACAAACUCAGUACACGGUAUCAUAUUGGUUGUUCACUUUCAUGAUAGUGUACUUGACCGGGAGCUGUUACUGCAUAUUGCUAGGCUGGGUAAAGAUAUACAUUCAGGCCGGGUGAGGUGGUGCACACCUGUAAUCCAGCAGCUAGGGAGACUGAGGCAGGAGGACUACAAAUUCAAAACCAGCCUCAGCAAUUUAGCAAGAUCCUAACUGAGCAAGACCCUGUCUCAAAAUAAAAAUAAAAAUAAAAAGGACUGGUUAAGUCCAAUGCCUGCUACCAAAAAAAAAAAAAAGAAAGAAAGAAAGAAAGAAACAUAUACAUUUAGAUACGAAGUAUGAUUCCUACUGAAAACAUUUUGCUGUUAUAGUCAUAAAGUCAAAAAUCACAAGCCAAACCAUUGUAAGUAGGGAACCAUCUGCAUUGGACAUUUGUUGUAGGAAAAAUAUGUUGUAGUUAGCCUGGUAGUAAAUGGAUUCUUUGACCUGAAAUUGUACAGAAAUGCUUUGUGGGUGUGAUUAGGUCAGGGAGGUCAAAACAUCUUCACAUUACUACUUAGAAAGGAAAAUGAACAUGAUUUGUAUGGCAUAUGUUGAUUGACCAUUUUGACCCCCAAAUAGAGUACAUACUGAGGAACACAGAAAAAAAGGCAAUUUAUGUAGUUAGAGAAGGAAUUUGGAUACAAAGCUAGGGAAUGUAUAUUUCAAGUUAGAGAUGACAUUAUGAAAGCAAACACUAAGGAGACAAAUCUGGAAAUAUUGGGCACUCCUAGGAUUGCAGUUUAUGGGCAGAAUCCAGAAUACCAAUGGUAGUAAACCAGAUAUUCAUUCAUUUGCCACAACUCAGGGCUAGGUUACUGGCCCUGGAAAUGGAGUAGAAAAGAUUAAUCCUAGAGAUACAAUAAACUGUCUGUUACUAAAGACAUCAAGAUACUGAUGAUAAUUUUGUGGUAAAGAAUAGGUAUUCCCUUACCUUUCCCUGGGAAAACAAAUUUGAAUUAAAAAGUUAAUCUCUUAAGAACAAUUAGAUCUAUGUAUAUUGUUGAUCAUGUUUAAAAUAUUCAUUUGCAUUAUUAGAGCUACAUAAUAUCCCUGUUAGGUUGAUGACAUAUCUAAAUACUAAUUUACAUAAAACAACCCUGACACCGAAGAGUAAUUAAAUUGGAAAAGACAAGACAUCCUGUAUGAGGCAAAGCCAGGACUUCAGCUUUAGCCAGGUCUUUAGGGCCCUGACUCAGAACCCUUUCAUUGUGAUGAUUGACCCUUGCUCAUGUUCUUUCUGCAUGUUUUAUAAGAAAAACCAGAGAGUCUGACAUAUGCUUAGAACAACAUAUUUUAACAGGGCCCAGUUAUGUGAGAAUAAAAAUCUGUCAGAAAAUUAAAAAAAAAAAUUCUGUUCCCAGUCAAUGCAAAUUUCAUUUUUAACAAUAAUAAAGCAUAAUUUACCAUUCUCAUGGGGAUGAUUAGACCUUUUCACAGUAUUUUAAGUAAAAACAUAUUAUGGAUAAUUGUAUAAUUAAAUUGUCCUAAAUUCAUAUAAUCAUAAAAUAUCACUUAUAGAUUUAAUAAUUAUUCCUAAAAACUAUGACAUUACAAAUUUACACUAUAUCAACUGAUUGGUGAAUUGAUAGUUAGAUGAUAUUAUAUGCUUGUUUUAAAUCAAUCAAAUAAAAAAUUUGAAAAAUAUGCGUUGCAUGAUUCCUUAAUACUGGUGUUUAUCAUAAGUCUGGAAGUCAGCCUUUUUAAAAAAAAAUUGAGUAAAUAAAUAAAAUGUAUACAAGUUCUCUUUUUUAAAAGGUAAGCUCUUAAUUUUAUGUGAGUAUUGAAAUAUAAUAGUUUUAUUGAACAGUUGUCUGAAACUGAUUUGUGGAAAUACCAGGGAUAGAAAGAUAUCUUUUUCUCAUUGUAAUAUCUUUACUCAUUAAAAUCAAGAAUUUGUUUCUCUCCUUUCACAUUCCAAAUGAUAUAUGUAUGUGCUGCUACAAUUGAACUUCACAUUCUUUCUUGCCCAAGACAGCAAUAAUCUCUACAUCUCUUCUUUCCCCCUCUAAAUUGCUUGCAUAUUUUGCCACUUAGACACUGUUCUUCCUUCUCCUUUUAAAUUUGAAUAUGUAUGUGUUUAGAAAACAAUCUGUGCUGUGAAUUUUAUAGGAGUGGAUAUUAUAGGCAAAGAAUGAAUACUUAGUGGAUAGUUUUAAAUGUUCUUAAUUUCUGCUUAGGUUAAAAGUUAUGCUUUGUCUUCUGGAUAAAAUUCAUCAAUGGACAGAGAAAAAGGGGAAAUAGCAAGUUAAUAGUAAAAAAAUGAGUCACAUUAAAUUUAAUUUCUUAUUAUGAACUUUUUUUUACCAGGUGUAUUGAUCCACACCUGUGAUCCCAGGGAGGCUGAGGCAGGAGAAUUGCCAAGUUUGAGGCAACCCAGGCAACUUAGUGAGACCCUCAGCAAUGAGUGAAACCCUAUCUCAAAAUAAAAAAAAUAAAUAAAAAGGGGUGGAAAUGUAGUUCAAUGGUAAAGUACCCCUGGGUUCAAUGCCUAGCACCAAUAAAUAAAUAAAUAAAUUCCUUCACUCAGACUAUGGUGAUGGGAGUGGGAGAAACUUAACAAAACUUUUCAAGAAGUUAAGUGAACAUUUUCUCACUUUCAAAUCAUAAGUACCAUCAGGAUUCACUGGCAAAUCAUACCUACUUGGGGAAAUGGGACUCUCCUAAUACGUAAUAAAGAAUAAAUCAUUGUAAGAAUUUUUGCUUAUUUUGCUCAUACUUUAUAAAUGAAAAUUUUAACAUAUAAUAAUUUAAAGUCACCAAGAUGGCAAAGUUGUCAUUACUUACUAAAUUUCACAGAAAACUUUUUCAGUAAGUAUGAAAACUGAAAUUCAUAUCCAAAGCUUCCAGACUCUAAAUGUCAAAAUUUUUCUCUUAUUUCAUGACCUUUCUAGACACAGGGGUUUCCUGAGACACUCUCAAGUAAUGUAGGAGGGAAAAAAAGUGUGAUUCUGAAAAGUUGAAACAUACCCCAAAUGACCAAUGCACCACUUGAUGGUUCUUCCUAUUUUCCUUUGGGUAUGAAUCUUUGUGGCAUCCAUAAGUCAUUCUACUUUAGUCCCCAAGUUCCCAUGUGUUUUUAGGACACUUGGGAGAGAAAUUUUUUGAGUUCUUAUUAUACAAGGGAUGACCUAGAGAGAUUUCUAGCUAUUUUUCACUGUUCAUUUUUAAAGUGGGCUGGUGAAAGAAAGAGGAGAUUGACUGCUGACUGUCAUUAACUUAUCAAGUGUAUGCUCUUCGCUCACCCUUUAGCAAAUACCUGCUAGGCUUUGGGGAUACAAUGGUGAACUUGACAGAUAUCCUGACUUCAUGUGGUUUGAAAUUACUUUUUUCUACAGGUGAAAAUAAUGCUUGUUCUUAAAGAUAAAAAUACAAGUCUUGUGAAGGAUAGAAAAUGACCUAAAUAUCUUUUGGAAAGAUUUUUUAAACCAACUUUACUGUGCUAGAACAACUCAAUGUUUUGAAUACUCUAAAAUUGUACAGCAGAUAAUUAAAGCUAAAGUUCUUAAUGUGUAUAAACUUCUUUGGCUAGUACAAUGUCCAAAUAAGACUUCAAAAGUAACUAGGUUGGCUUACUGCCAAAACCAUUUCUAAAUAUUAUGAGCUCUAAGACCUCUCCCUUAGACUUUUCUUUAGACAUAUUUAUAAUCCCAAAUUGAACUUUCUAAAAAGAUAGCAUUUCUUUUUUACUGUUUUAUUAUUUAUUUUUAAACUAUUUCUACACUACAUCCAAUAAAACAAUUGUGUGGGUUUUUUGUUAGAAUUUUAUUUUGGCAGUGCAUAUGGGCUAAAGAAAUGAGAAGUUCAGAAAAAAAUGUCUUAUUAUUUCUAUAAAAAGUGUCUUAUCUCAUCGUGUAUUGAAAAAAAAGUACAUUGUAUAAUGAAGUUUAGGAAAUUUAAUUGCAACUGUGACAAAGGAUGAUGGGAGUUCCCAGCCUUCCUUUAUGUCUUUUAUGUUUCUUUAGAAAACUAGUUGUUAUUAUAGCAUGUAAAAAUGAAGGUUCCUUUAAUUCAUAAUAACUAAGCUAUGGAAAUAACCUAGGUGUUCUUCAAUGGAUGAAUGGAUAAAGAAAAUGUGGUAUGUAUACACAAUGGAAUAUUACUGGGCCAUAAAGUAGAAUGAAAUUAUGACAUUUGCUAGUAAGUGCAUAGAACUAGAGGCUAUCAUGCUAAGUGAAAUAAGCCAAUCCCAAAUCACCAAAGGCCAAUGUUCUCUCUGAUAGGCACAUGCUGACUCACAACAGGCGAUUGGGGGAUAUGGAGUAGAGGUUCCCCAAAUUAGGAUGGAGAGAAUGAAGAAGGGAGGGGGCAUGGGAAUGGGAAAGACAGUAGAAUGAAUUGGACAUAACUUUCAUAUGUUCAUAUAUGAAUACAUGACCAUUGUAAUUUCACAUCAUGUACAACUAUAAGAAUGGGAAGUUAUACACCAUGUAUUAUGGUGUCAAAAUACAUUCUACUGUCAUGUAUAACUAAAAAGGACCCCCCCCAAAAAAAGAGAGGCUCUUUAACAUUUGACAAGAGCCUUACUGUGUCUGGAAAUGUACAGCUCAUCUCCAUGCAUUAUUUCAUUUUAUUCUUCCAGUUGAUCCCAUUGGAUGAGGACUGAUGAUCCUGUUUGGAGAUGGGAUAACUGCACUUAAGAGAAAUUGAAUGAAUUAUCUUAAGGAAUAAAGCUGAUAAAAUGUGAAACAUAGAUUACACUCAAAUCAUCCUAUGGCCAGGGCCUCACCUCUUAACCAGUUGUCUGAGCCGCCCCUGGAAGAUUCAAGAAUUUAAUUUUAGUGUUGGGGUUGUGGCUCAGCAGUAGAGCGCUCGCCUAGCACACUCGAGGCCCUGGGUUUGAUCCUCAGCACCACAUAAAAAUAAAUACAUAAAAUAAAGAUAUUGUGUCCAACUACAACUAAAAAAUAAAUAUUAAAAAAAUAAUUUAAUUUUAGCUACUUUAACAAAUGGCAAAAAAGAGUAAUUAUUAGAGAUUUUGAGAGAUGAUCUAAGUUGAAUUCUGUUAUUUGAAAAUCCAGACCAUAAUACUAUCUUCACCAUAGAGUCAAUUUCAGAGGUCUUAUAACAAAGGUAAUAACUUUCUUAAAGAAAAAGAUUGAAAAACAAAAAUAGGAAUUAGUGCUCUAUCUGAUGUGCAUAUAACAAAGAUGUUCUCUUCACAUUGAUUGUUUUCUUUGCUGAGAAGAACCUAUUUAGUUUGAAUUCAUCCCAUUUAUUAAUUCUUUAUUUUAUUUCUUGAACUUUAGGAGUCUUGUUAGUCAGGACCUAAUCCGACAUAAUGAAGAUUUGAGCCUACCUUUUCUUCUAUUAGAUGCAGGAUCUCUGGUCUAAUUCCUAGGUCUUUGAUCCACUUUGAGAUGAGUUUUGUGCAAGGGUGAGAGAUAACCAUGAAUCAAAAUGCAUUCUGCUGUCAUAUUUACAUAAUUAAAAUAAAUAAAUUUUUAAAAAUAAAAAGAGCUUAGGAGAGCACCAUGGUAAAGCACCCCUAGAUACAAUUUCCAAUACAAAAAAAAAGAAACAACUACAAAAAAAUGGGGAAAUAUCCAUCAGAAGCUGCUCAACUCAGGUAUCCUUUGAUUAUCCUACCUGAUGCACUUCUUGGAAGCAGAAAGAUUUGGGAUGACCAUUUAAGUCCAAUUGUUCAGAUGUAGCUAAAGAUACAAGGAAAUUAAACACAGCUCAGAAACUGAUAAUAGUAAAUAAAGAACCAGGUAAAUAGGUGAUGAGUGUAGAAAAGAAAUAGCCCACAUAUUCAGUACCUGGCUUAAAUGGAACACACACACACACACACACACACACACACACACACGAAAAGGUGUUUAUGUAGAAAGACCAGAACAGUAGGGUUUUCAGAGAGAUAUAGGACUGUCUGGUAAAGAAAUUGAAAUUGUUGGCAAUUUAUUAGUCUCAUUAUCAUAAGGUGUAGCAUCCCAACCCAUUCUGCACAUAAUUAUGUAUCUGCUGGGCAUUUGCAAUUUACUUUUAACAUAGAAAUACGUUAGUCUAGGAAGUAUUCCCUUUAUGUAGUUAGAGAGUGUAUAUAAAAGGAACUAAUUUGGCUUAAUCCAUGAGCUCUUUGAUGAGGUACACAUUAAGCUUCUAUAUUGCAUGUCAAAUACUUUGAAUUGUUUCUAAAAGAAACUGUAAUACUUUAAAAUUAGAUAUUUUCACAUGGGGAUAUAUAUAUAUAUAUAUAUAUAUAUAUAUAUAUAUAUAUAUAUAAUUUAAACAUGUAUUAUUUAUAAAAUAAUAUUUGAUUAUUUUUACCAUAAUGGUACUUUGAAUUUUUACCAUAAUGGUACAUUGACAUUUAAUUUUAGUUUUGCAAACUUUUAAUUAAUAUUAACUGAGGUCUGCAUUUUGAAGACAAUAAAGCUCAUGCUACAGAAAUACAUAAUACAUUUAUAUAUAUAUAUAUAUAUAUAUAUAUAUAUAUAUAUAUAUAUAUAUAUAUACAUUUUAUAUUGAAUAUGGAAAGUAUUUUUUAAUAUAUGCUUUUCAUUUUCCACCUUAGGGCUUACAGUUAUAUUAAGAUGAUCUAAGAGGUUCAAUAGGGCUUUGAAUCUGUGAGAGAGAUCACAUCAAAUAUUUGGUCUAAAUAUAUAAUACAGUAAUUUUGAAAACUGAUAUAAAUAAUACUUGGAAAGUUUAUAGAUCUGAAAUGUUUAAAAUGUUAUUUUUAAAAACUUCUUUUUCUUUUUAACUUACCAAAACCUAUUUGAAUUUUAACAUGAUAUUCAACUCUACUUUUAUUUUUUAGUUUGGAGAUAGUGUUUUCUUCUUUUCUGGACUAUCAUAGUCAACAAACUAAAAAUAAUUGUUUAGCUCCCACUAUGUUUCAUAGUUUUACUGUGCUUAAUAUAUGAUAAUAGGGUGUUAACAAUGAAGUUUUGUUGGUUUGUAAGUGAGUAUGGAUUUCUGGAAAAGACAGCAAAAGAAGCCUAAUUACUUUAGUCUUUUUAAUACAAAUAAAAAUGUUAAAAUCAAGCAUUUUAUAUCUUUACCAAUGUUUAUUAUAAUUUUGUUUUAAAUUUUUACAUGAAAUUAUUAUUUUAUUGGGUUUUCAGUUAUUUUCCCUUUCUUGAUAUGUUAUACAAUUUAAUUUGAGUGGCAUUCGAGGCUCUCCAUGUACAAUUACAUCUUAUCCUCCAUUAAUCAAAUGCAAACCAUCACUUUCAUUCUCCUAAAAAUGGAAUUCAUUUAUUGACUUGCUUAUUCACUUCUUUGUUUAAUUGAUCUCCAAAAUAAAAACUUAUUUUCUUCAUUCAUCUUCAUAUUCUUGAAGCAGUAUUUUUCUGAAAAUUCUAUUUUCCAGGCCUGAUAAACUACAUUAAACUACAUACAUUCAGGUCAUUAUAAAUUGUCUUUGAAUCAUAAUUUUCUCUUGUGCUUGACUCGAAGUUUAAUAGAAAAUUAAACAUAUUGAAUAUAAUAAUUUUACAAGACUAAUACUAAUCACUUACUAUGUAUGUGAAUAUACUGUAGGACUUUAUAUAAUGGCUCUUUAAUCUGACAGUGUCAGAAAAGGUGAGUGAGACACAGUGAUGUUGAAUACCUGGCCCAUGGAUAAACCCAGAGCAAACGGCAGAGGUGGGCUUCAUGACUGACAGCUUUACCAUCACCCUGCUCUCUUCUGUUACAGAAAACCUAACUAGGAAUAUCUAGAAAUGUAGGUAAAAGAAAUUUAUCAGUUCAGUCUUAAAAAGUGAAAACGAUAGCCAGUGAUAGCACUGUUGGCAUGCAUGGAAUACCAGCUAAUCAGGCAGGAGGCUGAGGCAGGAGCAUGAAAAAUUCAAGGCCAGCCUCUUCAACUGAGCAAGACCCUGUCUCAAAAACAAACAAACAAACAAACAAAAAACAUGGUCUUGGGAUGUAGCUCAGUGGUAAUAUGACCCUGAGUUCAAUCCCCAGUACUACAAUGGUAAUGGCAGAGAGAAGAAGAAAAUUAUGUUUGUUUAUAAAAGCUUAAGUUUUAUUUCAAAAUUGUGUUUAGUUUUUGAUAGUGAAUCUAUGCCAGUGCAGGAAUAUCGACUGGGUCAAGAUGUUAGGAUAUUUCGAAUUUCUGGUAGUAGCUGGAAGAUCAUCUGUAGCAAAAUUCAGAUUUCUAUUAUGAACAAUUCUGUUACAGAAACAUUUUUGGUAAUGAACACAUGCAAAUUUACUUUCUUAAGUAAUAUUCACUUAAGAAAGAUACAAUUGGAAAUACAAGUCUGUUGGACCAAUUGCAUUGAAUUUUUUCUGUUUAUUUGUUUGUUUGGGGGUUUUUGUUGUUUUUGUUUUGUACCGAGGAUUGAAACCAGAGGCAUUUAACCACUGAGCAACCUCCCCAGUUCUUAUUUAUAUUUUAUUUAGAGACAGGGUGUAUUUAAGCAUUUUAAAUCAAGAUGAAAUCAUGAACAUAUCUCAUCAUCAUUAAAAAUAUGAACAAUGAUCAUUAAAGAAAUAUUAUAUCUAAGUGUACUGGGAUUUUUUUUAAUUUGUUGAGAAAAGUUACCUUUUGUUUGCAUAGUUAUCAGUUGUUGAAUUCAAUAUGCUAAUUAGUAUCCCUGUUGGGUCAAACAUCAUGAAAUUCAAAUCUGAUAUGAGGACUUGUCCUUUGUAUAUGACUCUAAAUUGCUCUCACACCCUGCCUGUUUUUUUUUUUUAGUUGUCAAAUAAUAUUGUGUUUUAACCAUGUACACAUAAUUUUUAAAGUAUGUAAACUGUGGGAUGGUUAAUAACAUCUUGCUAAUUAACAAAUACAUUACCUCAUAAAGCUUCAUUUGAUAAUGUGGAGGACACACUAUCUAUAUUUAUUCCCAUAUACUAUUAAUAUUUAUGAAGUGAAUUGUUCAAAUUGUUUUCUCUAUGUAAAAGGAAUACUUCAGUUGCUAGAAAUGCUUAUUUUCUUAAAAAUAUUUCACCAAAUAGUGAAGAAACAAAUAGUUAUAAUGUGUUUGACACAUCAUUUUCUUAAAAUAAAAGCUAUAUAGGAUUCACUCAACUUACUAUGUUUUGAUUUCAAAAGUACAUGCAUUCCUGGUAGACCCACGUGAAUAUGAAAUCCAAGGUCCCCCUUUUUUUUGCUACAUUUUGUUUUUGGAAUUAAGAAGUAUGCUGUUGAAUAUUUCAAUUGGUGGUAGAUAUGAAGCCAUUUCAUGGUUGGUUUACUUACAAAGUGUUAGGAAUUUUACAGAUAAUCUUUAUAACUAAUCUAUAUUGUAUGUCCUCAAAACUUUUAAUUAGUUCAUAAUUAUUUGCAAAUAUUGCAAUCUAUUUCAAAUUAAGUCUAGUGUAAACCCAUGUUUUCAUUUAGAUUUACUAUUGGAACAUAUUUAAAUGCUAUUUCCUAUAUAAGUGAUUUUAGAUAAUUAGAUUGACAUCUUGUAAAUUAAUAGAUAAUAACCUCUAGAUUUUUUUAGGAUAUGAUAAAAUAUUUGUCUAAGAUUUAUAAAAUAUGCAUUAAAUAAUAGUAAUAUUUUAAAUUUUUCUCUUCUAACAUAAAGAAUUAUUGUUUCAAUAAGUAUUUUUAUCUGAAAAUAUUACAUGUGAAAAUUGUAAGAAACAGGACUAACCCAUGUCAGUAAAAAGGAAUUAUCAGCUUUGCACAUUAUUUUUUAUGUAGGUUUCACACUCUUCCCUUAUGCAUCUCUGCAUUAUCUUAGGACAAGUGCUGCUGAAAGCAGGCACCAUGAAAAUUCCUGUGCUGUUUUGAAAAACAAAUGUCAAAGUGGAUGAUUAUUUCUGCAUAUAAAGAGACCAUAUACUAUGGUAAAUAGAAUAUUAUGUACAUUUUAUUAUGAAGAAUCAAUUUUAAUAUUCAAAGUUAUUUGCUGCCCACAUUAACAAAAUAUUAAAUAAAUAUAAAGUCUGGGGAAAUAUUUACUGGGCAUGUAAUUUGACAUCUAAAUUAAGAACUAAAUUUCAGGAAAGAUGUAAAUUACAAUUAUGGAGAUAGCUUAGUUUUCAAAAAUAAUGGCUUUCCUAAAACAUGAAGGGACUCAAGCACAUUAGAGCUAAAGUUUCUCAAUAAUAAACAUAGUAAGAAAUGAACAGUAUGGUUAUAAUAAAUACUGUGAUUUUGCUGUUGGUGUUUUCUAUGACCCUGCAAGCUGAUAACUGUCAGGUUGCUAUGCUGAGUAGCAAAUUGACGCAUUGUGGAAGUAGCCAAUGAUAUUGUCAACAAGGUCUUUUAUUGUAGUGUUUUAUUAAUUUUGCAAAUAUGUUAAAUAUUUUUUUUCCAUUUGAACCCUGGAGGCCCAUAAUUUCAAUCGAAACUCUUUUCAAUUUAAAUAGAUUUUGUUACAAUUAUGUUCAGGGAAAAAAUGUAAACCACAAUAUUAAAUUGAAGUGGUUACUCAUGUGCAUACUCACUAUUAUAUUAUUUUCUACUGAAUUCAUUAGGGGUAGAUCCUAGAGAAUUGGGUGUGGCUAUAAGUACAUAGCUGUGGGCUUGCAAAGCCAAGGAAUAUGUAAUAGUGGUGCUUUGUUGAUCAGUAUUUAUAUAGUAAUACACUUUCAGUGUAUUUUAGAAAUGCGAACAUCAUGUUUAAAGCACUGAGUAAUAGGAUGUAACUACUGUGAUUUAUCUUUACUGAUAAAUAGUUUAGCUCAGCUCCACAACUGAUGAUGUUCAUACUUAGCUUGGAGUGUGGGGUAAUGUCACUGACUGCUAUCAUAAAGAUGUUAGCAAGUAGAUUAACAUUUGUAAGUCUCCUCUUCAUGAUCUCUGAAAGACUCAGAUGGACUUCCAGACUCUACUGGAAUACAUCAACUGAGGGGAAGUCAUGAUACUUUGGAGACAAUGAAAUCUAUUAAUAGACAAUUAAAUACUUCAACAAAAAGUUUACUGCCUUGUAAAUUCUACUUAUUACUCUUAGCAAUAUAUACUCAAGCAAUGAUUGAAUACCACUGACUAUACAAAAGUAGUAGGAUAUAUUAGAAAAUAAAAAAAUUUAGAAAGGAUAAGAUAAAGAUAAUUUGAAUGAGAGUUCUGGUGUUCCCAGCUCCAUCCCAGUGGUUCUUUUGGCAUACCACUGGCUUCCUGCUUUGAUAUUAUUGCACACAACUAAUUGGAUGUAUAAUAGCCCUCUGCAACCAUAAACUUUCCCAUUUGUUUGUGUCUAUUGCCUCUUUGGCUCUCAAGUUUCUUCUAUAAUUGCUGUUUGUUUUGUCAUCAACAACCAUGCCAUAAAGUAAUAGUGCCAAUAAUUGAUCAGUCUUGUGUACUCUAUAGGAAAACCAUCUAACCAAACAAAAGCUCCAAAUUAUGAGCUUCAAUUUGGCCAAAGGGAAUUUAUACAGAUAUUGCUUUUAAUUUGCAAGUAGUCGUAUUACCUUAUGUCUUUUGAGUUGGGCAGAAAACUUAAGUGACCUUAGGUAUGAAGAACAAAUAGCCCUUUAUAAAAUUCAAAGUGUGAUGAUUCCUUCCUUAGUGUACACACACACACACACACACACACACACACCUGAGAAUAAAUCCUAAAUCUAAGAAUUCCAGGUUUUCACGUGUGAAGAAAUAUAUAUUUUAAUGAUUGUCCCAAGGAUAGAAGCUGUUUUUCCACAUGAAUAGUACAUCAUCUUGUCCUACCAACUUUUGGAAUAAAUCAAUAGAAAUAAAUUAAGUACAUAAAUGAAGUUCACAUAUAAAAUUUUAUAUCUCUUGCUCCUCAAAUAAAAAUUUUGGUGAGUUAUUAUCCAUGUAAUAAGUUCUUUUCUCUCUCUGCUCCUUAGGGAAAUGGCAUAAGGUCUUCCUGAGUGUUAGAUUGUGCAUUUGGAGUUCUGAUUUAGUGGAACAGUGUGCAAAACUCUCAUAAUCAGAACACUCCCUAUUGGCUCCACAUCUGAAGAUCCCCAAGAGUGCAGUUUGUCCCAGUGAACAUCUGGAAUACAUUAUACACAGUUAAUUGGCUCCAGGUCGAGCUUGUUACAGACAGUAGCAUUCAGUAUAACCUAUGCAAUUCCCUAAAUCUACCCACUUUGGGUAAAUCACACCUACUUCUCUUCAUAAUUCUUCCCAGUUGUAGGAUGCAUGCUCCUGUAUGUACACACAGAACACAUGUGCAUGUACACACACACACACACAGAGAGAGAGAGAGAGAGAGAGAGAGAUAGCAAAAUAUCAAUACAUUAGUUCGAAGGUUGUUGGCAAGACAUUUAACACAUAAAUUAUCUCAAUUAAAAGAUUAACUAUUGGAUUCAAAGGAUUGUUGGGAAGAAAAACAAAGAAUCAGGGGGAGCAGAUUGUAGAAAGUGACUGUUUUAUAGCAGAAAAAUAUUCAAAGUUUUUAAAAAAGUUAUUGUACUUUCAAGAUUUUUGCUUAGUUUUGUUCCCUCCUCUUCAUAUGUGUUUCCACAUGUGCAGGCACUUAUCAGAAUGUCAGACUAGUGAAGAAACCAGUGCUUUGAUUUUUAACUUAUUUAACAAUAUUAAUAAGUUGGGAUAUAGUGGACAGUAAGACUACUGUUCAUUGCAAACCAAAACAUCAAUCUUUUUAACUUAUGAUGUUAAAGGCACAGGGCAUGUCUUAGCGAUUAAGGACCAGUUGGAGGAGUAGAUAUCUCAAUACGUAGCAAAGGGCCAUUAACCCAAACUAAUCAUUAAUUUCCAGGAAAUGUCCUGUACUGAGGUCAUUAUUACUAAUAAAAUGCACAUAUGGAAAGUUCUCUUUUUUUGCCUAUGCACAUAAAUGUCUUCACAUAUACAUUGUUACAAAUCAUAGAACAAAAGUAAUAUAUUUUGCAGGUCCAAUGAUCAGAAAAACUAGCUAAUGAGAAAUUGAAUAUAGUCAGUCUCCGGAUUCAAUUUAACUUUCACUGUUUUCAGAGAGUAUGGGCGGGGAGGAGAAUGCAUGCUUGUAUGUCAAAGCUGGGGGUCUGCUGCAGUCCAACAUCAGUGUUCUGUUAACAUGAUGAAAUAGGUAAAAGUGAAAGGAACAGGAAAAUAAGAUUAGAGAGGCCCUGAUGAAUGUGGAACCAGCACACAUGAUCAAAUAGCAAUGGCAGUAAAAAGUAAUGUGUUGUUUUGAGUCAUAAUAUUUUGGGUAUCCAAAGAGGCAUGAGGCAAAUUCAAGAGUUAGCUUAAGUUGCUCUUUGGUGUCCUCUUUCUCCCACCCCCCACUAGAUUGUGCUUUCCUCUCCCUUCCUUCUCCUUUCCUCUCCCUUCCUUCUCCUUAUAGCCUUUCACCAAGUCCAUGAUGCUGCCUGCCUAGCCUUUUCAGAACCCUUAGCGAGGUAUCACUGUUUCUGGAACUCUCUUUCUGGUUUUCUCUGUCUUCCAUGAAAUAUUCUCAUCUUAGUUAAAUCUGUGUAAUACUCUUUUAAGUUCUCUUUCAGAGUGUCUCAUAAAUGUCUCAAUUUUAGAAUUAUUUUAUCAUACUGUAGUUAUUUCUAUAUAAUUAAUUAUUCCCUCAGUAACAAUCCUUAUCUCUUUUUUUAACCUUAAUAAAUAGUGGAGGAUUACUUAUGGUGUUAAUGACUGAUAAGAAUUGUAUAAUAUAUACAACCAUACAUGUAUGUAUAUUCAAAUAUCAUGACCAGUGAUGUAAAUGUAUAUAUGUUAAGAUGCAAAUGUAUAAUAUUUGUGAUGGCAAUUGUCCAAAAGCAGCAAAUUUUUAAGAAGAAUCUAUAAGUCAAGGAACACAUCUACUUUUAGUGAUGUCAAGUCAAACAAAAGUUGCCAGGAUACAUUUCUUAAGACAUUGAGUAAUUCAAAACAUGAUUCAAGUCUAAUCUGAUAACUUUUUUCUAUAGGAAAAAGAUCAAUUAUAGCUCAACUAAAGUGCCCCUUUUUGUGGCAAUAGAUUAAACAUGUUUUCCUACUACUUUUAAAAAAUGUUUCAAAUGUGUUAUUUAAGGAUUUGUUCGUGUAUUAUAUUAAAAUGCAUAUAAUUCAAGUUUUAAAACUAAAAUAUUCAUAAAGGACUGCUGUGUAUAGAUCUUUUUGAUUGGAAGGAAAUUCUUGUUGUCUCUCAAAUUACAACUAAUUGGGUAAAACCUUCAAGAAAUCUCUAGUAAAUGUGAAUAAAAUAUUUUUAUUUUAAUAUUUUAUAUUUAAUAUUUUAAUAAAAUAUUAUUAAGUUAAUAUUAAAAUGAACUAUCUGUAUGCAGAAAUCUAUAGGAAGAAUUAAAUUAUUACAUUACAAAAUAAUUUGAUACUUCCAUAGAUACCAUUGAAAAUAAUAAAAAUAAUUGGGGAAAGCACUCAUGAUUAAUAUUUAAUGAAGCAAUUUAAUGUAAGAUUUGUCUAUCCUUAAAUGCUUGCCAUUCAUAAACAUAAAUUAGUACACCUCAAAUUUUAUCUUUUUUUUACUUGUAAGAUGUAACUGGAACCUUGAUGUUCAAAGUCUCUGAAUCAUUAUAGUAAAGUGGUGAAUUUCUCUUAAUGAAAAUUCAUCCUUUAUGAGAUAUCUUAAAAUAAUACUCAUGAAAUUCUUAUUUUGAAUAUUAAAUAUUUAGAAAAUUAUUUAAAGUCUAAUACCUAUUUAUUAUGACUAAUGCUAUCAGCAAGGAAGGUACAAAAAAUAUUCAGACCACAGUUAAAGCAGGUACCAUAUGCAAAAUCCUCCCUAGAACUCAAUAUAGCAAGAUCCUUCCCAUGGGCUAUUUCCUAGAAAGAAAAGCAGUACAUUAAGGCAGGAAGAGAGGUUGAAGAUUCUAUCAGUAAUUCAAGGUCAAUUGACCCUACCAUAAUGAAAACACCAGAUUUAUAGGCCUUAAGAAAAGUUUAAUAUUUGUUUUAAAGUCCUAAUCAAAUAUUUCCAUUGUCUUACUUGCCAUGCGAACUUGGAACAAAUAUUUAGCUCUGUGCGUCAGUUUUCUCAACUGUGAAAUGUGGUAAAUAACUACUUAUUCUAUGCCUGUCAAUAGCAUUAUGCCAUUUAGUCUGCAAGCUAUUUUAAAAAAUAUCUGGUAUGUAUAUUUCAAUAAAUAUUAUUUGUAAUUUUUAAUAACAGGUUUAGUUUGAAAUGUGUCUUUUAAUUUUCUCAAAUUUUUAACAAAGAUAGCCAAGUCAUUUAUUUAUGGCAGUGUAGUUAAUAACCACCUCCUCCCUUUUAUUAACCUUUACACUUUAUAACUUAUUUUUCUAUUCAGGGCUGCCCUAAACAGAAACUAAUAGAUGGUAUGUUCUAGGCCUACACUCUGUACUGGAGGACCUGACCUGAUUUCAUCUGAUCUCCACCAAUAUAAGUAGACUUAAGGUCAGAAGUAAGAGAACAACUCUCUCAAAAUAAUAGCUUGUGUCAGUCUUUGUUUGAAAAUCUUUCCUUUUGGGAUGAUAUGGAAUACAAGUAGACAUCUGCUAGUGUUUUCAUCUGAUCAAAGAAAUCAAGUUAUGUUUAAAAAAAUACUCAGAUAUUUACAAUUAAAAAAAUAACUUUUGUAGAGAUGGCAAUUAAAAACAGUUUGAUUUCUAGUAGUGUAUUCAUUUCUACAUUGAAGUAAAGACAAUUCUGAAUUUAUUACACAGUUUUGGAUUCAUAUUAUCUUGAAAAAUUCACUAAGAACAAAUGAGAAGAGAGAAAUUGUGUUUUUUUUUUAAAAAUUCUAUGUACAUUUAGAAAAUUAUCAUAUAGUAUAUCCAGAAAAAUCUGCAAAAAAAAAAAACUCAUAUUUUUUUUUCUUUUAGAGUCCACUAGUACUGAAAAAGAGCAUUGUUUUUCAUCAUGGAUGCCACUAAAGAUGAGCGACCAAAGUUGAGAAGCCACAAUUUUCACCUUUUUCAUGCUUUGAUGAUGCUAAGCAUGACUGUGUUAUUUCUUCCAGUCAUUGGAACUUAUAAACAAAAUAUUCC
rnacentral:lncRNA from 1 species